rnacentral:lncRNA from 1 species
UGAGGAUGCUCCUGUGGAAGAUGUAAUCCCAAUUCUCGUGGCUGCCUUCCAUUGCCAACUGAACAAGCUUCGUUUUUUCUGCAUCCAGAGAAUUGCAAGGUCAAAUCUUGACAAUGUUUGUCUCGAGAAAGAGCUUCCCGAUGAAGUUUCAAGAGAAAUCAAAUCACUCCGUGUCAAAUCUAACCAGGAGUCUGAAGCUAUUAUAGCAGAAGUGGAUCCCAUGCAUGCAAAAAUAGUCAGUAGAAUCCACAAGGCGCUGGACUCUGAUGACGUUGAACUGUUGAAGCUUCUUCUGGAUGUAUCUAAUGUCACUCUGGAUGAUGCUUACGCUCUGCACUAUGCUGCUGCCUACUGCAACCCUAAGGUUUUUAAGGAAGUGCUCAAUAUGGGCUUGGCUGACCUCAAUCUUAGGGAUGCAAGAGGACGUACGGUGCUUCAUGUGGCUGCAAGGCGUAAUGAGCCAGAAGUGAUGGUGACUCUGCUGAGCAAGGGAGCAUGCGCAUCAGAAACUACAUCAGAUGGGCAAACCGCUGUAGCAAUCUGUCGGAGAAUGACAAGGCGAAAGGAUUAUCUUGAAGCUACAAAGCAGGGGCAGGGAACUAACAAAGACCGGUUAUGCAUUGAUGUCCUUGAGAGAGAGAUGAGAAGGAACUCCAUGUCUGAGAACUUGGCAAUGUCAUCAGAGGUGAUGGAUGAUGAUUUCCAAAGGAAGCUGGACUAUCUGGAAAAUAGAGGUGAUAAUUUCUUUACUGGUAUUAGUUCAUCACCUUCUCAGAGUUUGUGCAUAGCACACUUCUUUCUACUGUUUGUUUGUCCAUUCAUCUGGAAAAUAGAGGUGAUAUUCCUUUGCUGGUAUUAGUAAAUCAUCUUCUCAGAGUUUGUGAGUCCCUUCAUCUUAGGAUCUCAAACACACAUGGGCUCAUUGCUUGGAGCACACUGUUGGCCAGUCGUGUGAUUUGAUCCCUUUUUUGGAAUAGACAACUCUGAAUCCAUCUGAUCUAGGCUUGGCGGUUUGCACUGAACUGGUUUUUGAUGAAUAAUUGCACAAGACUUUGUCAUCAAAACUUUUAUUUUUUGGUUUUUUUGCCCCAAAAGUAAUGAGGUACAAAAAAAAUCUAUGCCUAUCCUGGAUGACUGCCAUAACAGCUUCUUAAUAUUUUGCAGUGGCUUUUGUACGGUUGUUUCCUUCUGAAGCUAGAGUAGCUAUGGAAAUAGCAGGUGCAGAUACCGCCACUGGCCUUUCAGCAUUAGGUCAGAAAGGACUAAGUGGGAACUUAAAGGAGAUUGAUUUGAAUGAAACGCCCUCUAUGCAAGCCAAGAGACGCCAAUUGAGACUGCUAACUCUGCUUAAAACAGGUAUUUAUAUACUUUAUUAACUUUUGCACCUUUCUAUUUACUGAUUAUCUUUAUAAUUAACUAAUACAUGUAUCCAGGUUUCUCCUUCCAUUUCUAAAAGGUUUCUCCUUCCAUUUCAUUAGAAGUAAAUUGGAAUUUCUUUAUAGUGCUCUGUUAGGUGUAAUCAGAUGUAUCAAAAGAGAAAGGGUAAUUGUUAGUACAUUGAUAUCUCAACAAAAUGGUAGAACCUUUCUUUAUACCAGUAAGACAUUUGUUGCAGGUAUGCCUACAUAAUCAGUGUCCUUCAAAACUUUCAAGGAGUUAGCAAUGCCUAACCCCUGAAACACUAAAUCUCACGGGAUCAACUCUUUACCUCUAGACCGAAGGUGUGACACCCAGACCCAAUUAGGGCUUAGAACACAUAUCGAAUCUGAGUGAAACUAAAUGCCUGUAAAUCCAAAUCUCCAAAAUAUCAUAAAGUCAUCUACUUUCUCUUUUCAUGUAUUUCACAAAAUUUUGAAAAAUUCAUUCUCAAUCAUAAACUAUGCACAGCUAAUUAUUCAGCAUAUCAGUAUAGAGCAAUACUUCCUCAUAAGCAAAUAAAUCUUACAAUCCUUCUUAAAUGAUUUGAAAAAAAUACUAAUAGAAGUCUUCUAGAUACAAACAUAAACAGAAUUCAACUGUUUAAAACUAUGCCAAAACACAAGCUUCAAUCAGUAAUGCAUACGACUAAUUAUUAAAAACAUCUAGCCAGAAACCUUACGAAAGCUCAAUCCUUUCGAAGCAUUCUUCAAAUUAAUAAUUGCUACCAUCUGUGAAAAAUAAUUGACAAGGAGUCACCUGUGAACUCAAUCAGUAGAAACAUUCGUAACGAACAAAAAGAAUUCUUUGUGCAAUAUUUUCAGAAAAUUCAUUUAACCUUUCAAAUGAAACAGAGUAAUUUUUCUAACGCAGUCAGGAUUUAUAUAAAACACAAACGUUUCAGACAAAAGCUGUGUGGAAUGUAAAUUUUGUUUCUUUAAACAGAAAGUUAUAUAUUAGUUUGAUUUUAAAGGGAGGUUAUUGGGAAGUUAAAAUUGGCAGUUGCGGGAAAAGGGUAAUAGCAGUUAUAAAAUCUCUUUUAAAGCAAAUUCAAAUCAAGUUUCAAAUUUUAGGAGUACUUAAUUCAAUAAAAUAAGGAAUAAAUAAAGCUUUCAUUGAAAUAAAACUAAGUAAAUUCAUUUAAAGCAAAAAAGGAUGGGAGCAUUACUAUGGGUUCUUAUGUUUACCCGCAGUCAGACAUCUGGGACCUUGUUAUUUGGAGACAAGACUUGAUUGUGCCAUGUUUUCCGCAGCUAGACAUCUGUGGAUAAGAGAACCCUAAGCGUAUUGAGAAUAAAUUCCAUAAUCCAAGUCUCUUCAGUUCUUUCAUUUGUGGCUAAUUAGUUAUAAAAUUUGUGAAUUUCAUGCCCCAUGCCCCUUGCAAAAAUGUAUUUUAUAUCCUUAAGAUGCCAGUUGUUGAACUGAAAUAAUAAAAAAUGGAAAACAGACUUAAUGCCGAUAGCAUUUCUUAAGAAAAACUUGGGAUGUUUAUAAGUUUCUUAGAGCAUUUGCUGAACUUUCUGUGAUGGCAGUCGAGACGGGUGACCGCUACUUCCCUCAUUGCUCAGAAGUGGUUGAUCGCUUUUUGGAUUUGAACAAUCCUUCCACCCCAGAAAUGGACGACGAGAAACUUAAAGUAGACGUGCAGGAGGCAUUCUGCAAGGACGUGGCUUAUCACCGUCGUUUAGGGCUGCCAUCAUCCUGGCCGGCAUUUUACCAGUACAUGGCUAGGAGCAAUCAGUCGGCAUUUUACAAGUACGUGGCUGAGAGCAAUGGUUCACGAAUGUCGACAUCCUGGGCAGCGAGCAAUUAAGCAUCACCUUUCCCUAAAAGUUAUAUUUGACACCUGGAAAACUAAAGUAGUUGAGUGAGCUCGAUUGGUAUUUGUAGUUUCUUUUUUUUUUACUCAAGUGAUCUGGCAUAAUUAAAAGUUAUUUGUUUGUCUUCAAAGUUAUUGUAUUGUCUCAAGUCCGGUGAGAUGCGCGAACGUAUAGCAUGCAUCACAAACUCAUUUCAUAGAAUAUUUUUUUGUAUAAUUAUAUAAUUUAUAGGCUUUGCUUAAAAAAUUAAAAAAGAAAAAAAGAAUUGUAUUACAAUUGGUAUGAGGCAUGCUCGUGUGUUAUAUCAGUUGCAUGCGUGUGUUAUAUCAGUUGCUGAACAAACUUUGCCUUUUAGUUUUGUAGGCACUACCAUCUCAAAUUCUCUGUUAUCAUGAAUGAGUAUUUUUUUUCUUUUUUCUUUUUUAAGAAAUCAUAAAUGAGAUUCAGAUAAUCUUUUUAAAAAAAAAAGAAAAAAAAAUGGAGAUUUCUUUUAUUUUUCCUUAAAAAACUGAAGAAAAAUUUAGAAGGUAGUGAGAGACGGAGAAUUAAAGCAAUUUUAUUCACAAAUGUAAUGUGUUUGGUCUAGCAAUACAAACUAAUAAAUUAUAAUUUAUGAGAUUAGUUUACAUAAUCUUAUAUAUAAAAUUAUAUCCUCUGAAUAAAAAUCUUCUCACCUCUUUUGACUUCUCAUUUAGAUGCCCUCUCUAGAAUCUCUCCAGCCAUAAACACAUUUUUAUAAAACAAAACACAAAAAAAAAUUAUAUAUAGUUGUCACAAGGACUAUUUCAUUUGCACAUAAUACGCAAUUGGUCAUUAAAGUUAUUAGAGGAGAAACUUUACAUGACAUGGGUACAUCAUAUUAUUAGUAUUUUAGUUUAAAUUUUUACAUACUAGAACAGUCUCUUUUUCUCCGAUUUGAGAGAUAAUGGGGAAUGGGGUUAAAGUGCAUCUACAUAGAAUUAAUUAUAAUUAAAUUUAUUUUUUAAAACUAUUUUAACUAGAAGUAGUAGUAAUUCUUUUUACUAUUGUUAUUCCAAUUAUAUCAAAAUCUCGUGACUGGUGAUCAAAAUAAGUGGUUCAUUAAAUUUUUUUAGGUGACGUAUGGUAUGGAGUUGUUAUAAAUCUAUAUAAAAAGUAAAAUAUUUAAUUUUGCUUGUCGUAAACUUUUAAUUUGCAUGGGUUAAAAAAGAAAAAAAGAAAUUGACUUAUUAAUUAAUUAACAAUUAUAGAAAGAAUAAAUAGAAAAUUAUAGUUGCGUGAGAAAACCCUCGUGAAAAGGGCUCCGGAUUUCCUUUCCCUGGCUUCGUGCGUUUCCUUUUGCCCUUUUCGAGCACGAAUUCGAAUCCAGUACUUUAUAAUAAAGAUAUAAUAUUAAAAAAUAAGAAAAAGAAUCCCAAUUUUUACUGGUAUAUAACGCAGAGCCUGCAUUAUGAAACACUCUUUUGCUAUUGUUUUCUUUUCUUUUCUCUUUUGCUGUAAUUUUUUAUGAAACACUCUGUUUCAGUUCUGUUUCUGGUUUUGUUUCGGUUUAAUAUUAUUGGUUCCGUUUGGUUCUGUUCUGCUCUGUUCUACGUCGUAUGUAUAUAUGUAUAUAUUUUUGGCCUCGAAUUGCUUUCAUCACCGGUUUUGUUAUUCAUUUAUCGUGAAUUUUAGAUGACUUGUUCGGCCAUGUUACAUUCAGCUACCAUUUUCAUGGUGGGUUUGUAAGAUAGUCUCUGACUAACACAUGGCAUUGAUUAUGAAUGAUGGUUUUGUGAGAUACAUCAUACAGACGUUAACUCGUGUUAAUUUGUACUUACAUCAUUCAAAAGAUUACUGUUUUUCUCUCUUUUUUUUAAAAAAAAAAAAAAUUGAAAUGCCCUUUUUCGCAUUUUAUAGAUGAAAGGAAGAAACAUAAUAUCGCAGAACUAGAAUAAAGGAGCCUAUUCUGUUACCUAUUGUCCGAGGAACCUUCUGUAUAUUCGGUAGGAACUACCAUGGGAAGUCAAAUCUUACCAGAGCCAGGCGGAGUCGUUGCUGAAGGAAUAUAUAUUAGCAGAUCCAUUUGUCCCGUACACUUCAAUUGUUGGUAGCAUUUUUGCUUGCACGAUGGUAUGUUUGUCAUCGUUACUGCGUGGUGGUAUUUACUAGAAAAUAUUUUGAAUGCAUAGUUUUUAUUUAAUUAGUUAUAAAAUUUUUAUACCCUCUGUUUUCCAUAAGAAUGUGUUCCUUUUCAGGUCUAUGAUCUUGCCCAAUUGAUUAGUGUGCUGUUCACUUUAAAUCUGAUUCCAGUUUCUCCAACAUACAGCGGGUCGAGUGGAGUAACAGGUGAUUGAAAAUUUUCAUUUAGUCCAAUUGUCAUUUCUUUCUCAAUCGGUAAAGUUUAAUCAUUUUUCUUAAAUCGACAACUCAUGCAGGGCCAUAUCAACCGUCCAUGACAUUUUUAUUACAGCGAUGUCUUUGUACUUUGUGUUUUGGUCGGAUCUCAGAGUUUGUGCAUAGCACACUUGGUUCUACUGUUUGUUUGUCCCUUCAUAGACAUUUCGAUAAACUGUUAUUUUUGUUCUUUGGAAGUGAAUAUUUUCAGCAACUAGAACUCCGAAGCAUCUGGAGUGAUCCAUUUUGUCAUUCUCAAUACCUAUAAAAGAAUGUCAUAGAAAACAGUUUCCAAAGCAAGUUGCAUGUGUUUUGAAUUUGUCUUUGCAAGCCACUAAUUGCUUGGAGCGCACUGUUAGCCAGUCGUGGUUCCAUCCACUUUUUUGGAUAGACAAUUGUGCAUCCAUAUGAUCUGGACUAAACUAGUUUCUAAUAAAUAAUUGCCCAGGGUUUUAGUCUCAGUGUUACAGCCCAGUCUUUGUUGUCAAUACUCUUUCCCCUGUCGUGGAUGAGCGACAUAACAGCUUCUUAAUGUUUUGCAGUGGCUUUUGCACGGUUGUUGUUUCCUUCUGAAGCUAGAGUAGCUACGGAUAGAGCGGAUGCAGAUGCCACCAAUUUUUAUACUGGCCUUUCAGCAUCAAAAUCAAAAGGAUCAAGUGGGAACUUAAAGGAGGUUGAUUUGAAUGAAACACCCUCUAUGCAAGCCAAGAGACUCCAAUUAAGAUUGCAAGCUCUGCUUAAAACAAGUAUUCAUAUACCUUAUUAGUUUUUGUACCUUUACAAUUUGUGAUUUUUGUAUCAAAAGAGAGAGGUUAAUUUUUAGUACAUUGAUAUCUCGACAAACUGUUAGAACCUUUGCACCACUAGAGACAUUUUCUUAGAGCAUUUACUGAACCUUCUAUGAUUGCAGUGGAGACAGGUCGACGCUACUUCCCUCGUUGCUCAGAAGUGGUUGAUAAAUUUUAGGAUUGUGAUUGGGCCGAUGCUUCCCUCCUAGAAAAAGGGUACUCCUGAAGAGCAGAGACUCAAAAGGGCACGCUUCAUGGAACUUAAAGAAGACAUGAAGAAGGCAUUUUACAAGGACAUGGCUGAGAAAAAAUGGCUCAGGUUUGUAGUCAUCCUCGUCAUCGUCAUCUUCUCCGAAGGACGGAGUAAAGUGUAAGGGUAGGAAAAUGUGAUGCUUAGCUGCAUGUCUUUGUUAUUCAUUUAUUGGCAACUAAAAGAGUUUUAGUGAGUUGGCUUGUUACUUGUAGAGAGAUACUCUUAGAGCCUAUGUUAUGGCUAUGUUGUAUAAUAGCAGAGGAACUUCAAGCUUGUGUUGUUGUAUUUUCCCUGGUAUUUGGCAUGUAAUGCACUAAAUGACAAAGAAUUUUCUAAUUUUAGAGGGGAAUGUUAUGUCAGUUAAUUAUUUAUUUAUUUUGUCUGUUUAAUUCAGUUUACAUAGCUUUUUUUUUUUCUCCAAAAAAAUCUUCAUAUCUCCAUCUGCAAUUUAAGUCAUUUGUAACUUCUUUCAGGGAGGAAGGAAAAGGGAAAAAAAAGAAGCAUUUGUAAGUAUAUUUACAGUACUGAUUUUCCUACAGAAAUUGGUUAAGGUGACAUUAAUGUUCUUAGUAACAGAUGGAUAUGCAGAAUUUUCGUUGAAAUUGAAAUUAGAAAUGGAUGGAUAUGAAUGACAUAUAUUCAGAAUUUUUUAGUAGAAUGUUUAAACAAAAUUUUUUAGCUCAUUACUCUCUAGAAGGAAAAUAAAUUUUUUAUUGUAAAUAUUAAAUAUUAAAUUUAUAAUAUAAUAAAUGUGUGACUUAAGGUGCACAAUACCUAUAUAAUAAUAAUAAUUAGGACAAGAAAAAUCAAAUUUUGUAAAUUACCAAAUUUCCCUUGGAAUUUGAUAUUCUAUAUCAACGUAGGUGUUGCAUCCACUGGGUUAGUACAACUAAAAGAAACUAACUAAAGUAAAACAAAAUAUCAGAAAAAUAUGGCGAGCUUCUCAUUUUUUUUUAAGUGAAAAAAAAAGAAAACUGAAAUUAAUUAUUUUUAUACCCAAAUUCUCAUGCUCGAAGGCCGCUGGAAUUGGUCAUUGUAAUUUUGUCAUCCUCGUUAUUCACUGGCCAUCGUAGCCUUCCUCCCUUAGAAUGAGAGUCGUUUUUUGGACCACGACAUAAUAAAAAUAGUAUUGAUUAAUACUAAUAAAUUUCUUUUUGAUUAUUUUGCAGUGUAAUAGUCUAGUGCGUGCCAGUGCCCAUCAGAUCACUUGAACAUGUGGUAAAAUUCUGCGAGUCUUUGUAAAAUAAUUUUUAAAUUGUGUAUUAACCAAAUAGCUCAAUGAAGACUAUCGACUCAUUAUUUUAUUUUGUAUAUAUUUAUGAUAAUUGUUGAAAAGAAAAUUGUAAAGUGAGAUUAAUGAACAUUUAUGAAUGUGGAAAUUAACACAACCAGAAUUUAUGAUGAAAUAAUUUUAAGUCAAACGAAUGUAAGUUUGUAUAUAUAUUUUUUGAAUUGUCAUAUAUAUACAAGUUUGUCACUAACAGUAAAUUAAAUUAUGAAUAUUUUAAUAAUUCAAAAUCUCAUUUAACCAUCAGCGUUUAUAGGGUGCGUUUGGCACAUUGUAUUGUAUUAUAUUGUAUUAUAUUAUUUUAAUGCAUGUGUAUUAUAUUAUAUUGUAUUACAUUAACAUUGUAUUAUAAUAAUACUAUACAAUGUUUGGUACUACAUUGUAUUAAUUUUUAAUAAAUAUAUAAUAUUACACUGUAUUAUAUUAAUUUUUUAAUAAGUACUUUAAAUUAUAUAUUUAGAAAAUAACAUUUAUUAGUCGUUAAAAAAUACUAAAUAUAAAAUUCUUAAAUUUUAGAAAUUUAAUAUUAUCUUUCUGGUAUAAACGUUGAAAAAAAAAAUCAUAAUUCUUCGUAAAAAUCGAAAUAAAUAAUUCAAUCAAAUAACCUUCAAAUAAUAUUAUAACAUAAAUAAAUAAUUAAAAUGUACAAGAUUAAGUUAAAAAUCAUUUUAAGAUAAUAAAAUAAAAAUUUAUACAUAGUAUAAAAUAAUAUAGUAACUGUAGUAUAAUAACUAACAAAAUAGACUGUACUAAAUAAUUUAAGUAAUACAACAAUAUUUACAAGUACCGUUUUUGCUAUCUUUCUCUUUUAAAGGCCCCUUUUUUGUUUUAUUCUUAGAACUUCAUAGUUCUUUUGUUUUUUCUUUUUCUUUUUCUUUUUCUUUGCCCCUUUUUUGUUUUCUUCAUAUUUCUUUUGGCUUCAUAAGUUUCUUUUAACUGAGUUAAUAGUGUUGUUAGGUUAAACUAAGUUUGGCUUCAUAAACUUAAAUCUCGUUAAGUUUUCCUUCGAAUAGCUCUCUCUCUUUUAGAGAGGCUUGAAUGGAAAAAUAUUAAGGGGUCGUAAGGACUCAGGUGGUCACUCCUAGUGAGUGGAAAGUAAUCUAAACCAGCAAGCUGUUGGGAUUGAUGUGCUGGUGGAGAAAGUUUCGAAGAGCCAAAGGUAGUGUAAAGCGUUGGGGUACGAGUCAAAGCAAGCAAGUUGAAAGAACUCACUAUCGGCUCUAGCGUUAUUUGCCAUGGACACUGAAGAGCUAAUUCGCAAGUGUCAAGCAAUAAAUAUUAGAGAGGAAGACAAAGCCAAAAUAACACUGGAGGUGAAUCUGGAAAAAAAGAAAGAACUAAUGAUGGCAGGCUGCUUAGUGGGUAAAGUAAUGCUCGCGAAGGGAGUAAAUAAAGAGGGUCUCAAGGCUGCGUUACAGCAGGUGUGGAGGACUUUCAAAGAAGUCAAAAUCGAAAGCGUGGGAAACAACAUCUUCAUGUUUAAAUUUGCUGAGGAAGCAGACAAGAAAAGAGUGUUAAAAUGGGGACCAUGGCACUUCGACAGGGCAUUGAUUGUACUCGCUGAGCCAAGGGGGAUUGGGGAAGUCGCAAAACAAUCCUUUACUCAUACAUCCUUUUGGGUGCAGAUUCGUAAUGUUCCACUAGCGUGUAUGGAUAAAGAUUUUCUCCGGGAGCUGGGUGAGAAGCUAGGAUCAGUUGAAGAGGUCCAAACUGAUGAUAAUGGAGAUUGUAUUGGGGAAUAUGCCAGAAUAAGAGUUUCAAUUAAUAUAACACUGCCGCUAGAGAGGAUUCUAUUUCUAAAGCGAGAAGGUGAAACUGAUAUCCCAAUGCCAGUGGUCUAUGAACGUUUGCCGGAUUUUUGUUAUUGCUGCGGCAUCAUAGGACAUCAAUACAAAGAGUGUGGCAAAUACCAAGACCAACCAAGAGAAGAUUUACCAUAUGGGAGCUGGAUGAAAGCGAUUACGGUAGGGGGCUUCACAAAGAGGAAUCAGAACCAGGGAAGGUGGAACUAUGGGGCUGGAAAAUCGGAUGAAAAAUCAGCAAGCUCAGAAAAUCACAGCUUCCAGCAACAGCAAGGGCAAAACAAAGAAAACCCGAUAGAGGCAAACGGGUCGGUACAAAAUGAGAAGGAAAUGGGGCAAACCAUGGAGCAUGCUAAGAAUGAUGUGAUAGGAGGAGUAGCUGAGCAACAAUUAAUGCAAGGAGUGUCACAGUCAGCGGACAAAAAACAAACUGACGGCCACAAGCAAGCUAAGAAAAGUGGCAAUGCAACAGUCCCAAGGAAAAUGGGCACACAAGCGGGAAAUGGUAUCCUAAACGAGGGGGAAAAAAUGCAAAUAAGUCAUGAAAAGGAAGCUGGAAAAAAUGAUGGGCCGGAAGUCUCUCAGCUACAGCCCAAUAAGAGAAAGUGGAAGAGAUUACUUAGAGAGCUAAGUGAAGGGGGGGAAGAAAUGGAGGUACAAACUCGGAAAAGGCCAAGGGGGAAAAAACUCGGGCAAAGCCCAAGGAAAAAAACAAAACUCUCCAACUCAAACCAGCUCGAGACAAAAAAUCUGAUGCAUGUUUCUUCAACAGCAAGUCUUCAGCUGGGGUGGGAACCGCUGAUGCUGGAAGAGGUGGUAGUUAUGGAAGCAAACAACAUGGAGAUAUCGGCGGAGGCUGGUGGCCAGCCCCGCCGAAAACCAUGAAUAUCCUCAGCUGGAAUGUUCGGGGUUUGGGGAAUCCCCGAGCAUUUCAAGCCUUAAGAAAAAUCCUCCAGUUGCAUGGUGCUCAGCUGGUGUUCUUGUGUGAAACAAAGGUAUCAACCAUGCAAAUGAAUGUAAUUGCAAGUAAGCUGAGCUUCGAGAAUUGCCUUGCGGUAAACGGUAAUGGAAGAGGAGGCGGAAUAGCAAUGCUCUGGAAGUCAGAUAUUGAGGUGCAAAUCAAAUCAUACAGCCAGCACCACAUUGAUGCCGAAACUCAAAUGCCAAAUGGGAAUCAAAUGCGAAUUACAGGAGUGUAUGGGCAUCCGGAAAUAAGCCAGAAAAAGCACACUUGGACGCUCCUCAGACGGCUGGCGGUUUUAUCUUCUAGUCCUUGGUUGUGUUGUGGAGAUUUUAACGAAAUUUUACAUCCAAAUGAGAAGAGGGGCGGCAAUGAUAGAAAUGUGAAUUUAAUUAAUGAGUUUAGAGAAGUCUUGAGAGAUUGUGGCUUAAAGGAUGUCGGGUUUCGGGGGUAUGCUUUUACUUGGAAUAAUGGAAGAUAUGGGGAGGGUUUUGUGGAAGAAAGGUUGGACAGAUUUGUUUGCUCUAAAGCUUGGAGUGAUAGAUUUGUGGACUGUGCAGCAAGUAAUCUGGACUCCUGGACUUCGGAUCAUUGUCCCGUGCUGAUGGUUGUUCAAGAGAGAAGGGAGGGUAUGAUCCAAAGGGGUAGACAUUCCUCGCGAAUCCAUUAUGAGGAUAUGUGGAGUUCGUAUGACGGAUGCAAAGAGAUAAUUAAGGAGGAAUGGGGGCUGUAUAGAAACUGGAGCAGUGAAAAUUCAGCCCAAUCCUUUCGACAAGCAACAAAAACUUCGAUGGGUAGGCUGCUGGGGUGGAGCAAGAGGGAAUUUAGAAAGCGUGACAGAAAAUUAGAGAAGCUGAAGGUUCAGCUGAGGGAGUUAAAACAAAGAAGGGUGCAAUUUGUAGAUGGUGAGGAAAUUCGGAAGGUGGAGAAGCAAAUUCAAAAUAUUCUUAUGGAUGAAGAAAUCUACUGGAAGCAACGUUCAAGAGCAGAUUGGCUCAAGGAGGGGGACAAAAACACAAAAUUUUUUCACGGCAAAGCGACGGCAAGAAGGAAAAAAAACAGAAUUUGGGGGAUUGAAGAUAAUUUUGGGAAAUGGAUUGAGGAGCCAAUCAAAGUAGAGCAUGAGUUUUGCAACUAUUUCACCAAGCUUUUUACAUCAACCCAGCCGAGACAAGAUCAAAUUGCAGCAGCUUUGGAAGGAAUAACUCCAAGAGUUUCAGCCAGUAUGAAUGAGAGUCUGGGGGCACCUUUUACAGCCGAGGAAGUGUUGGAAGCGCUGAGCCAAAUGUGCCCAACAAAGGCUCCGGGGCCGGAUGGUUUGCCAGCCGUGUUUUACCAAAAGCAUUGGCAUUCGGUCAAGGAGGGAGUGCUCACCACUUGUCUGCAUAUCCUUAAUUCACAAGGUACCAUCGGCCCUCUAAACCACACUUACAUUGCUUUGAUACCAAAAAUCGGAAAGCCUAGGAAAGUGACAGAUUUUAGGCCUAUUAGUUUGUGCAAUGUCAGCUAUAGAAUUGUUGCUAAAACAGUUGCUAAUAGAUUUAAGCAAGUUUUGCACAAAAUCAUCUCUCCAUCGCAAAGUGCAUUCAUUCCCAAUAGGCUGAUCACUGACAAUAUAAUAGUUGGCUAUGAAUGUUUGCACAAAAUUAGGCAUUGUAAAAGCAAGCGAAAUGGAUUAAUUGCCUUAAAGCUUGAUGUUAGUAAAGCUUAUGAUAGAUUGGAAUGGAAUUUCUUAGAGCAAACUUUAGAAAAAUUAGGCUUCUCGCAGCAAUGGAUUAGCUUGAUUAUGAGGUGCAUUAGUUCGGUUUCAUUUUCAGUGUUAAUAAAUGGUGCAGUGAAAGGCUUAAUUAAACCUCAAAGGGGCUUACGUCAAGGAUGCCCCCUCUCCCCAUAUUUGUUUAUUACAUGUGCAGAGGCCUUUUCAUCUUUGCUGCAGCAAGCUGAGCAACAACAACUCAUUCAUGGGUUAUCUUUUGGAAGCAAUCUGAAGAUUUCGCACCUCCUUUUUGCCGAUGACAGCCUGGUCUUCAGCAGAGCCUCCAUGGCCGACUGUCACAACUUGAAGAUGAUCCUUGAGUGUUACUCCACAGCUUCGGGCCAAAUUUUUAACUUCGAGAAAUCUUCCCUUUUUAUCAGUGGCAAUGUACAGCAAGAUCAAACUGAGGCUCUUGGGAAUCUAUUUCAGCUCAAUAUUGUGUCGAGACAUGAGAAAUAUCUAGGCUUGCCAUCGAUGAUUGGGAGAAAGAGAAGCAGUUUUUUCAAUGACAUCAAGCUGAAGGUUGCUAAUAAGAUCUCAAGCUGGCAGCAUAAAUUCUUUUCUUGCGGAGGGAAAGAAGUCUUAAUCAAAGCGGCUGUUCAAGCUAUCCCAGCCUACGCAAUGAGCGUCUUUAAAAUUCCAGGGGGUGUUUGUGAUGAUAUUCAAAAGAUGGUGGCAAAGUUUUGGUGGGGCUCCAAGAGGGAAGGGCGGAGUAUUCACUGGGCGCAGUGGGAAAAACUGAGCCAAGCCAAGUGUUUGGGAGGGAUGGGAUUUCGUGACUUCUCAAGUUUUAACCGAGCUCUUCUAGCAAAGCAAGGCUGGAGGAUUCAGCAAUGUCCAGAUUCGCUGGUGGCAAGGGUCCUGCAAGCUAGAUAUUUCCAGUCAACCAAUUUCUUGGCUGCUAAACUCGGCUCAAACCCCUCAUAUAUUUGGAGAAGUCUUCUGUGGGGGAGGAAAAUUAUUUGCGCGGGCUCUAGGUGGAGAGUUGGUAAUGGUCAGAAAAUUCAUGUUCAUAAGGCUAAUUGGAUCCCACGGGCUUCAACUUUCCAGCCAAUAGUUAAGCCAUCUCUGCCCCCUGAUGCUAUGGUCUCGGAAUUAAUCACUGAGGCAAACUGUUGGGAUGAAAAGAGGAUUUAUGAGCAUUUUGACCAUAUGGAUGCUGAUUUAAUUGCUAAGAUUCCCCUGCCUCGAAGUCCAAGGGAGGAUGAGCUGAUUUGGCAUUAUGGAAAAAAUGGCCAAUUCUCGGUUAGAAGUGGAUACCAGACAGCUCUCCAAAUGAAAUUUCCAGCCAUGGCUUCAAGCUCAGUGGUUUCCAAAAAUGAGUGGAAUAUUAUUUGGUCCCUUGCUUUGCCUCAAAAGAUCAGAAUCUUUGCUUGGAGAGCAGCCAAAAACCAACUCCCAUCAGCUGAGAAUCUGUGGAGGAAAAAAAUAAUCCAGAAUCCCAUGUGCCAAGUCUGUAAAAUAGGAACAAAAAAUGUCUUUCAUGCUCUAGUAGCCUGCAAAUCGGCUGAGAAGGUGUGGAAGCUAAUCCAUUUUGAUGAUGACAUUCGUGCAGCUCACAGUCAAGACAUUCUAAGCAUACUGCAUGCUAUGAAAAGGAUGAGAAACAGAGACGACCUGGAGCUGUUGGUAACAAUUUUCUGGGUUAAAUGGAAUGCUAGAAAUCAGAUGAUCUUCAAAGGGAAAAGGGAAACCCCCCAGAUCAUGGUAGCUAAAGCUGAAGCCUUGAUUGCUGCUUAUAAGAGGGUGCAUUCUCCAGAUGAGGCCUGCAGUGAAACAGAGCAGAAAGCACCUCCCCAGAAAUGGAACCCCCCUCAAGCUGGUUUUGUAAAAGUAAACACUGAUGCAGCCAUUUGCUUUGAAAAGAACAUUGUAGGGCUGGGGGUAGUAAUAAAAAAUGUUUUGGGGCAUGUUACAGCAGUUGCUAUCAAGGUUGCUAAGUUUCAUGGAGAUGUUUCUUAUGCGGAAGCAGAAGCCAUGGAAUGGGGUAUGUUAGUGGCGAGAGAGGCCAACAUGAAAGCUGUCAUCAUGGAAUCAGAUUCUCAAGGUGUGGUCAAUUUAGUUAACAACAAGCAGGGCAGCAGAUCAGAGAUCUAUUGGGUUGUGUCAGAAAUUCAGAAUCUAGCGGAAAGUUUCGAUCGUGUUAGCUUUAAAUACACGCCUAGAUCUUGUAAUGUUAUUGCCCACUCUUUAGCUAAACUAGCUUUAGAGAAGUGCGAGAAUGUUGUGUGGAAAGGGUCAUACCCUUCACAAGUGAUGUAUCUCUUUUCUUCUUUAGUUUAAUGGAAAUCUCUUUUCAAAAAAAAAAAAAAAAAAGUUUGGCUUCAUAAGCUUCAUAGUAGAGUGUAGAAUUAGGUACAAUUUUGGAUUAGACAAGUCAAAGGUCUUAUCAAGUAAUUGUUCUGCUUACUGAUUUGGUAAUUGCAACAUUGCUAAAUUGUUCAAUUUGUCCUUUUUAUUUUGUUGAAUUUAUUGUAUGUCAUAUUACUUGAUUUAAUUAUUUUCUCAGAUCUUGUAGGUGAAAAUUUCAGCUUCAAAGACCAAAGCUAAUCAAUCAUCCAGCAAUUCAGUGAAGAAACCAAGACACAGUGGCUCAUAAAUUGUUGUUGGUGAUUGAUCCCAGCCAUUCGGGUGCUCGCCAGUCCUAGAUUAGAAAACUUUCAACGCGGCGCAUAAAUUGCUGUUGAUCUGCUUUAUAUAUUUUGACGUUUGUGAUUUGUGAAUACAUGGUCUGAUUCCAGUGUUUACAACUUUGAAAUUCAAUUAAAAGUUGAGCUGUGAAAGAGUGUGUUGUAUAACUUGAGAAGCAAAUGAAACAAACAGAAAAUGUGUUUUUAUUUUUUUAAUCUAUCUAUGUAACAAUUUAUAGCUGGCAAAGUAAUAGAGUUGUAUACUUGUAUUUAAUUAUUUAUUAUUAUUAUUAUUAUUAUUUUUUUGUAUCCAUGGUGUUUUGUCAUUUCGAAAGUACUUGACCCUUUCACGCUAAGGCACACUCCAGCAGCCGAAACUUUGAGCUUUCAGUUCUUGAUUUUAGCGUGAGGGGUAUCUUUGUCUUUUCAGUAGUCAACACACGGUCAACAAAACAGUCUACAAACAAUCGACCUGUGAACUUGGGUCAAAGCUUUCAUCUUUAAAUCACAUAGGUAGAUCAUGAUUCAAGCUUCAGUUAUAAGCCUUUCAUUGUGAUUGAUAGUAUUCUUUCUUUGAUAUAUAUAUAUAUAUAUAUAUAUAUAGAUUCAUGGUUCUUGAUGGUAUCAUGGAAAAUGCGAACGAAAAGUCAGCAUCUUUGAGUUUUGACUCAUCUUAUCAAACUUGUUGGUCCACUAAUCAAUCAACAGGCACUUGUGAUCUUGAUUAUUUCAACUUAAGGAUGCAAAGCAGCAAUGCCAAAGAGACAUGGCAUGACGCUGAGAUUGUUGUUGAGGGCAAAUCAGUGGCGGUUAAUCGCAGCAUAUUGUCUGAGCGCAGUCAAUUUUUUCGUCGGCUUUUUAAUUUGAGAAAUGAUGGUUCUGUCAGUGAGGAGAAACCCAAGUAUCUUAUGACUGAUUUGGUGCCUCAUGGGAAGGUUGGAUAUGAAGCUUUCAAUGAUAUCCUGCUUUAUAUUUACACUGGGAAGACAAAGGCAUCUCCUCCAGAAGCGUCCACGUGUGUUGAUGACGCUUGUACUCAUGGUGCUUGCCCUCCUGCUAUUAAUUAUGUUAUUGAGUUGAUGUAUGCUUCUGCUGCUUUUCAGAUGACACAUCUCGUUUCGGUUUAUGAGGUAGUUGCGCUUCCCCGCUAUUUGCAUUGCUUAAAUUUAUGCUUGUUGGUAUAGUUUUAACAUAUAUGGAAUUGAAAUCAAUUUCGGUUGUGAAGCAACUUCGGUGGUUCCCAAUAUUAGGCAUUGUAGUAGAUCCAAAAUUAGCUUGUUGAGAAGUGUAGAUACUGUAGAGCCCAAAACUUCGUCUUAUCUUGCAAGAGUCUGUUGUUUUAUUUUGAAAGAGACAAAAGUGAUGAUGAUGGGCAGCGAACUCUAGGAAUCAAUGCUUGCUGACACUGACCCCCAAGAAUCAAUGAGUCUGAAUUUGAUAAGUGCACCUAUCCUAUCACAAAAGCUUUUGCGUUGAGUUUCUAACCAAUUUUCAUUUGUGUAGGUGUCAGUUCAUGCUCUGGCUUGACUGUUCUGUUAUUUAGGUUGUUUUAUCCGUAUUUUCUUCACUCACUUGAUGGUUAGUUCUCUCAUGCUUUCAAGCUCUCAACAGUGAAUGCGGGAGAUUCUAUUUUUCCCGUCCAGUCUAUAACCUAGCAAAUCAUUAAUGCUGUAGAAUAACAUCUUGUGUAGCCGAGUUUAUGUCUCUGAACAUUGGUCCAUCGGCAUUUAGGAUCAAUAUUAUUUUUCCCCCUCAUUAUUAUUUUCCUCCACAGAUUAUCCCCUUUGAGUAUUUGAAUUUUGAAUAUAUUAUUCUGAAUCAAAACUCUAUCUGUCCGUGUAGCAUUUUUUAUAUGCUUUACGAUGUUUACCAAUAAUUACCCACUAUGGGGUAUUUGAAUUUUGAAUAUAUUAUUCUGAAUCAAAACUCUAUCUGUCCGUGCAGCAUUGGCUUCUGAACUUGGCUGAGGAUGCGCGUGUGGAAGAUGUAAUCCCAAUUCUCGUGGCUGCCUUCCAUUGCCAACAGAACAUGCUCUGUUCUUACUGCAUCCAGAGAAUUGCAGGAUCAAAUCUUGACAAUGUUUGUCUCGAGAAAGAGCUUCCUGAUGAAGUUUCAAGAGAAAUCAAAUCACUCCGUGUCAAAUCUAACCAGGAGUCUGAAGCUAAUAUAGCAGAAGUGGAUCCUAUGCAUGCAAAAAUAGUCAGAAGAAUCCAUAAGGCGCUGGACUCUGAUGACUUUGAACUGUUGAAGCUUCUUCUGGAUGUAUCUAAUGUCACUCUGGAUGAUGCUUAUGCUCUGCACUAUGCUGCUGCCUACUGCAACCCUAAGGUUUUUAAGGAAGUGCUCAAUAUGGACUUGGCUGGUCUCAAUCUUAAGAAUGCAAGAGGUCGUACGGUGCUUCAUGUGGCUGCAAGGCGUAAUGAGCCAGAAGUGAUGGUGACUCUGCUGAGCAAGGGAGCAUGCGCAUCAGAAACUACAUCAGAUGGGCAAACAGCUGUAGCAAUCUGUCGGAGAAUGACAAGGCGAAAGGAUUAUAUUGAAGCUUCAAAGCAGGGGCAGGAAACUAACAAAGACCGGUUAUGCAUUGACGUCCUUGAGAGAGAGAUGAGAAGGAACUCCAUGUCUGAGAACUUGGCAAUGUCAUCAGAGGUGAUGUAUGAUCAUUUCCAAGCGGAGCUGGACUAUCUAGAAAAUACAGGUGAUAUUUCUUUACUGGUAUUAGUUCAUCACCUUCUCAGAGUUUGUGCAUAGCACACUUCUUUCUACUGUUUGUUUGUCCCUUCAUAUGGAAAAUAGAGGUGAUAUUCCUUUACUGGUAUUAGUAAAUCAUCUUCUCAAGAGUUUGUGAGUCCCUUCAUUUUAGCAUCUCAAACACACAUGGGCUCAUUGCUUGGGGCACACUGUUGGCCAGUCAUGUGAUUUGAUCCCCUUUUUUGGAAUAGAGAAUUAUGAAUCCAUCUGAUCUAGGCUUGGUGGUUUGCACCGAAGUGGUUUUUGAUAAAUAAUUGUACAAGACUUUGUCAUCAAAAACUUUUUUUUUUGUUUUCCAAAAGUAAUGAGGUACAAAAAUAUUUAUGCCUAUCCUGGAUGAGUGCCAUAACAGCUUCUUAAUAUUUUGCAGUGGCUUUUGUACGGUUGUUUCCUUCUGAAGCUAGAGUAGCUAUGGAAAUAGCUGGUGCAGAUACCGCCACUGGCCUUUCAGCAUUAGGUCAGAAAGGACUAAGUGGGAACUUAAAGGAGAUUGAUUUGAAUGAAACGCCCUCUAUGCAAGCCAAGAGACGCCAAUUGAGACUGCUAACUCUGCUUAAAACAGGUAUUUAUAUACUUUAUUAACUUUUGCACCUUUCUAUUUACUGAUUAUCUUUAUAAUUAACUAAUACAUGUAUCCAGGUUUCUCCUUCCAUUUCAUUAGAAGUAAAUUGGAAUCUCUUUAUAGUGCUCUGUUAGGUGUAAUCAGAUGUAUCAAAAGAGAAAGAGUAAUUGUUAGUACAUUGAUAUCUCAACAAAAUGGUGGAACCUUUCUUUAUACCACUAAAGACAUUUGUUGCAGGAUGCCUACAGAAUCAGUGUGCUUUAAAACUUUCAAGGAGUUCGCAAUGCCUAACCCUUGAAACACUAAAUCUCACGGGAUCAACUCUUUACCUCUAGACCGAAGGUGUGACACCCAGACCCAAUUAGUGCUUAGAACACAUAUCGAAUCUGAGUGAAACUAAAUGCCUGUAAAUCCAAAUCUCCAAAAUAUCAAAAAGUCAUCUACUUUCUCUUUUCAUGUAUUUCACAAAAUUUUGAAAAAUUCAUUUUCAAUCAUAAACUAUGCACAGCUAAAUAUUCAGCAUAUCAGUAUAGAGCAAUACUUCCUCAUAAGCAAAUAAAUCUUACAAUCCUUCUUACAUGAUUUUAAAAAAAUACUAAUAGAAGUCUUCUAGAUACAAACAUAAACAGAAUUCAACUGUUUAAAACUAUGCCAAAACACAAGCUUCAAUCAGUAAUACAUACGACUAAUUAUUAAAAACAUCUAGGCAGAAACCUUACGAAAGCUCAAUCCUUCCGAAGCAUUCUUCAAAUUAAUAAUUGCUACCAUCUGUGAAAAAUAAUUGACAAGGAGUCAGCUGUGAAUUCAAUCAAUAGAAACAUUUGUAACGAACAAAAAUAAUUCUUUGCGCAAUAUUUUCAGAAAAUUCAUUUAACCUUUCAAAUGAAACAGAGUAAUUUUUCUAACGCAGUCAGGAUUUAUAUAAAACACAAACGUUUCAAACAGAAGCUGUGUGGAAUGUAAAUUUUGCUUCUUUAAACAGAAAGUUAUAUAUUAGUUUGAUUUUAAAGGGAGGUUAUUGGGAAGUUAAAAUUGGCAGUUGUGGGAAAAGGGUAAUAGCAGUUAUAAAAUCUCUUUUAAAGCAAAUUCAAAUCAAGUUUCAAAUUUUAGGAGUACUUAAUUCAAUAAAAUAAGGAAUAAAUAAAGCUUUCAUUGAAACAAAACUAAGUAAAUUCAUUUAAAGCAAAAAAGGAUGGGAGCAUUACUAUGGGUUCUUAUGUUUACCCGCAGUCAGGCAUCUGGGACCUUGUUAUUUGGAGACAAGACUUGAUUGUGCCAUGUUUUCCACAGCCAGAUAUAUUUUACUUCAUUAGUUCCUAGACAUCUGUGGAUAAGAGAACCCUAAGCAUAUUGAGAAUAAAUUCCGUAAUCCAAGACUCUUCAGUUCUUUCAUUUGUGGCUAAUUAGUUAUAAAAUUUGUGAAUUUCAUGCCCCAUGCUCCUUGCAAAAUGUAUUUUAUAUCCUUAAGAUGCCAGUGGAUGAACUGAAAUAAUAAAAAAUGGAAGACAGAUUUAAUGCCGACAACAUUUCUUAAGAAAAACUUGGGAUGUUUAUAAUUUUCUUAGAGCAUUUGCUGAACUUUCUGUGAUCGCAGUCGAGACGGGUCAACGCUACUUCCCUCAUUGCUCAGAAGUGGUUGAUCACUUUAUGGAUUGGCCCUAUGCUUCCACCCCAAAAAUGGACGACGAGAAACUUAAAGUAGACGUGCAGGAGGCAUUCUGCAAGGACGUGGCUUAUCACCGUCGUAUAGGGCUGCCAUCAUCCUGGCCGGCAUUUUACCAGUACAUGGCUGAGGGCAAUCAGUCGGCAUUUUACAAGUACGUGGCUGAGAGCAAUCGUUCAGGAAUGGCGACAUCCUCGGCAGCGAGCAAUUAAGCAUCACCUUUCCCUAAAAGUUAUAUUUGACACCUGGAAAACUAAAGGAGUUGAGUGAGCUCUGCUCGAUUGGUAUUUGUAGUUUCUUUUUUUUUUCCUCAAGUGAUCUGGCAUGUAUCAAUUAGUUUGUAAAGUUAAUUGUAUUGUCUCAAGUCCGGUGAGAUGCGCGAACGUAUAGCAUGGAUCACAAACUAAUUGUAUUGUCUCAAGUGAUCACAAAAAGAAUUGUAUUACAAUUGGUAUGAGGCAUGCAUGUGUGUGUCAUAUCAGUUGCUGAACAAACUUUGCCUUUUAGUUUUGUAGGCACUACCAUCUCAAAUUCUCUGUUAUCAUGAAUGAGUAUUUUUUUUUUCUUUUUUUUCUUUUUAACAAAUCAUAAAUGAGAUUAAGAUAAUCUUUUUUUUAAAAAAAAAAAAAAUAGAGAUUUCUUUUAUUUUUCCUUAAAAAACUGAAGAAAAAUUUAGAAGGUAGUGAGAGACGGAGAAUUAAAGAAAUUUUAUUCACAAAUGUAAUGUGUUUGGUGCAGCAAUACAAACUAAUAAAUUAUAAUUUAUGAGACUAGUUUGCAAAAUCUUAUAUAUAAAAUUAUAUCAUCUGAAUAAAAAUCUUCUCACCUCUUUUGACUUCUCAUUUAGAUGUCCUCUCUAGAAUCUCUCUGGCCAUAAACACAUUUUUACAAAACAAAACAGAAGAAAUUAUAUAUAAUUCUCACAAAGACUAUUUCAUUUGCACAUAGUACGCAAUUGGUCACUAAAGUUAUUUGAGGAGAAAAUUUACAUGAGAUGGGUACAUCCUAUUAUCAGUAUUGUAAUUUAAAUUUGAACAUACUAGAAUGGUCUCUCAUAAAUUUUUCUCCAAUUUGAGAGAUGGUGGGGAAGUGGGGUUAAAGUGCAUCUGCAUAGAAUUAAUUAUAAUUAUAUUUAUUUUUUAAAACUAUUUUAACUAGAAGUAGUAGUAAUUCUUUUUAUUAUUGUUAUUCCAAUUAUAUCAAAAUCUCGUGACUCGUGAUCAAAUUAAGUAGUUCAUUAAAUUUUUUUAGGUGACGUACGGUAUGGAGUUUUUAUAAAUCUAUAUAAAUAGUAAAAUAUUUAAUUUUGUUUGUCGUAAACUUUUAAUUUGCAUGGGUUAAAAAAGAAAAAAAGAAAUUGACUUAUUAAUUAAUUAACAAUUAUAGAAAGAAUAAAAAGCAAAUUAGAGUUGCGUGAGAAAACUCUCGUGAAAAGGGUUCCAGAUUUCCUUUCCCUGGCUUCGUGCGUUUCCUGUUUGCCCUUUCGAGCACAAUUCGAAUCCAAUACUUAAUAAUAAAGAUAUAAUAUUAAAAAAUACGAAAAAGAAUCCAAAUUUUUACUGGUAUAUAAGGCAGAGCCAGUUAGAAUUCACAAACCUUAAGCAUACAAUCUGUUUGGCUAGCAGGAAAGUGACGAAGGAAGAAAGAAAAAUAAACUGAAUAAGAGAAUUUUAUUAAUCUCGAAUCACACCCUUACAUUCAAGCUUUCAUCAACUUAUAUUGCUGAUUAACAGAAGUAACAACCUCUGUAACAGCUGUCAAAUAACUAUUGGUUAAGCUAAGCUAAACAAUAACAAUCUAACUAAUUUGUCCAGCUCAGCUAUCCAGCUCAUCAAUCCUAGUCAAGUGAAUCUCAGCCAUUGAUCUGCUGCUGUUGAUUAAGCAUCUCAACACCCCUUCUCAAGCUUAAUGGUCGUGGAACAACAUUAAGCUUGUCUCUAUAGUAAUUAAAAAAAGAGUAAGCCAUAGGCUUUGUAAGCACAUCUGCAAUAUUCCACUCACUUGGUACAUACUUGAUCUCCACUUGUUUGCCCGUUACCUUUUCCCUUAUGAAAUGCACAUCCAACUCUAUGUGCUUGGUUUUGGCAUGAUAUACUGGAUUUGUUGCUAGUGCAGCUGCACCAUUGUUGUCACACCAGAUUAUUGGUAUUUGGCUACACUUCAGUUUAAGCUCUCCAAGUAAAGCUUGAAUCCAAACAAUUUCUGCACAAGCUGUUGACAAUGCUCUAUACUCUGACUCUGUGCUAGACCUUGCUACAGUUUGUUGCUUCUUGGAGGACCAUGAAACCAGAUUCUGCCCAAGAUAUACACAAUAUGCUCCAACUGACUUUCUGUCAUCCACAUCACACGCCCAAUCUGCAUCUGUAUAUGCUGUCAGACUAAUUCCAUCUCCUGCUUUAAACAUCAAUCCAUAAUCUUCAGUUGCCUUUAAGUAUCUUAGAAUUUUCUUACAAGCAACCCAGUGUUUCUCAGUUGGUGCAGCAAGAAAUUGGCUCAACUUAUUAACUGAAAAGGCAAGUUCUGGUCUUGUAAGUACCAAAUACUGUAAAGCACCUAUUAUGCUUUUAUACUCAGUGACAUUAACAAUCAAGUUAUCAUCAUUCCCUGCUCUUCUUAGUUUCUGUCCUGUACUCAUUGGAGUAUCACUUUCUCUGCAAUUUUCCAUAUCAGUUCUUGUAAGCAAAUCUCUUACAUAUUUUGCCUGUGAAAGAUGUAAGCUACCCUUUGCAUCAUGUGUAACCUCAAUACCAAGGAAGUAACUGAACUCACCAAGAUCUUUUAAAGCAAAGGUAUCUCCAAGGUAUUGGAUAAAUGUUUCAAUUACUGUAUUGUUAUCACCAGUAAUUAAUAUAUCAUCUACAUAUACUAACACAGCCACAAUACCUCCAAGUUCAUGUUUGAUGAACAAAGAUGAGUCUGCUUUGGAGUUCUGAAACCCCCACUGCAACAGUGCUUUCCUUAGCCUGUCAAACCAGGCUCUGGGAGCCUGUUUCAAACCGUAAAGAGCCUUAUGCAACUGACAAACAUGACCAGAUGGAGACUGAACAAAACCCUCAGGUUGAAACAUGUAGACAUCUUCAUUGAGCUCUCCAUUAAGGAAAGCAUUGUUGAUGUCGAUUUGUCUUAUUUUCCAGCCCUUCAUCACAGCAAGACUAAGGAUAAUUCUCACAGUUGACUGUUUAACUACUGGACUAAAGGUCUCAAAGUAGUCAAUACCAGCUGUUUGAUGAAACCCUUUUGCCACCAGCCGUGCUUUAUACUUAGAAACAGAACCAUCUGCAUUAUACUUAAUGCGAAAAACCCAUUUACACCCAACAAUUUUAGUAGCUUGAGAAGGUGGUACAAGAAUCCAAGUCUUAUUUUCCAUAAGUGCAUUAUACUCUGCCUGCAUGGCUGCUUUCCAUUUGGAAUCUGAAAGAGCUUGAGAAACUGUGGCAGGCUCUUGUUCUCCAAGAACAGAGGAAUAGGCAUGAAAUUUUGGCUUAAAUACACCUGCUUUGGCUCUUGUAAUCAUUGGGUGAUUUGGCAGUGAAACUUGAGUAGAGGAUGGUUGUUGAUUUGAAGUAUUUUGGGAUACAUAAGGAGAGGUGUGGGAGGGUGGAUGAUUUGAUUGAGAUGGUUGAAAUGGUUGAGAAGAAGGUGAUAAAGAACUAGAUGAGGAGGAAGAAGCUGAAGCUGCAGACAACUGAAAUGGUUGUAUAAUGGUGUUACUUGAGCCUGAAGGGUCAUGAAGUGGAACUGACACUGAAGAUACCUUAAACAUAGGAUAUCUAUAUUCAGAAGCAGAGGAAGAAGGUUGUUUAGAGAAAAGAGAGUCAGUAGAGAAAGGAAAUUCUGACUCAUUAAACACAACAUGCCUAGCAACAUAUACAACACCUUUUGAGCUUAGGCAUUUAUACCCUUUGUGAUCUGAGCUAUAACCAAUAAACAAACAUUUUGUAGUGUGAUAGUUGAAUUUGUGUUUGUUAUAGAAUCUCAGGUAUGGAAAACAGGAGCAGCCAAAAAACUUUAGAAAAUCAUAGUCAGGCUUGUGUUUGAAAAGAAUCUCAUAGGGAGAUUUAUUUGAUGGUAGAACAGAAGUUGGCAAUCGAUUGAUAAGAAAAGCAGAAGUUGAGAAUGCUUCCCACCAGAAACUGAGAGGUAAUUUAGCUUGUGCAAGAAGAGUCAAACCCAUCUCAACAAGAUGUCUAUGUUUCCUCUCUACUGUCCCAUUCUGGUGAUGUGUGUGAGGACAUGGAUGUCUGAAUAAAAUGCCAUGUUUUUGAAGAUAAGGCACAAAGGAUCUGAAUUCACCCUCCCAAUCUGACUGUAGGACCUUAAUGACUGUUUCAAAUUGUUUUUCAACUUGAGUUCGAAAAAUGGCAAAAACAGAUAAAGCUUGAGACUUGGUUUUCAAAGGAUAAACCCAGGCAUAUCUACUAUAAUCAUCAAUGAAACUGAUAUAGUAUCUAUAACCAUUGAGAGAAGUAAUGGGUGCUGGACCCCAUAAGUCAGUAUGGAUGAGUUCUAGAGGUGAGGUUGUUUUGUGUUCAGUUGCUCCAAAAUGCAGUUUAUGAACUUUGCCAUAUUGGCAGGCAUCACAAAAAUCAGGAAUUUGAAUUUUAUUGCUUAACUGCAAAUGUUUACAACUGGUGAGUACUUGUUUCAAGACUUUUGAACUAGGAUGACCAAGUUGCCUAUGUAGGAUAUUUAUUGAAGCACUGGAAACUCUACUGGAAUGAGACAACAGACACUGUUGAGAGGAGUGCUGAACAACUUUAGCUUGAAUAUUUGAAAAAGAACAAGACUGCAAACCAUCUGAGCAAUGUGACACCAUAGACAUAGGAACAAAACAUGACUCUUUAUUUACAGUUGAAAAUAAAGCUUGAUGAGUUUUACUUCCAGGCUCAAGUUUCAGCUUAUACAGACCCUUCAUAGCUACACCCUCCAGCAAAACUGUCCUCUUCUUCUUGUCCUUGAGAAAGCAAGUAUUUCCACAAAAUUCAAUGAUCAAGGAAUUAUCAGAAGUAAGCUUAGAAAUGCUUAAAAGAUUUUUAGUGAUGUGUGGCACAAAUAAAAGAUUUUUGAGCAAUAAUCUAUGAUUUCCAACUGCUAAAUAAGUGCUUCCUAUAUGAGAAAUAGUAAGGCCAUGUCCAUUACCAAUUAAAAGCUUUUCAUUACCUUCAUAAGGCUCACUGAUGCUGAGAUUAUUGAGAUCAUUGGUUAGGUGGUGAGUUGCUCCACUAUCCAGGUACCAGUCAUCAUCCAUUACUGCUUCUGGUGUUGCCAUAUAAGCUGACAUAUUUCUUUGAUUGUAGCCUUGAUUAAAAACUUGAUUUUGAUGUGGAUACCUUGUGACUGGAAUGAAAUCCUUGUUGAACCUAUCCUUGCAGGUAGCAGCAGUGUGUCCUAUAAUGAAGCACACUUGGUAUCUAGGUUGAUAUGGCUGUGAAAAAUGACCAGGCACAUGACUAGGCAUUUGAGUUCUCCCACCUUGAUUCCAAGAUCUUCCUCCAUGCAUGUUAUUUCCUCUUCCACCUUUCCUUCCUCGAUAGAAAUUUCCACCUUGAUUCCCUCUAAAAUUUCCUUGCAUCAUGUAUCCAGAAUUUUCAGAUCUUGAUGCAUUUUGAUUGAAACUAGAUCUUGAGUUGUAUGUUCCAAAACCUUUCUUAUUAUUGUUCCCUUUCUUAACAAAAUUUGCAGCAAACGCCAUAUUUGCAUCCAUAGUUUCAGCUAAAGCUUGUUGUUCUAACAUUCCCUCAUGUGUCAUUAACAUAGAGAGUGAUUCUGAUAAAUCGAGAUCUAAUCCUCUUCCUGUGAUCAAAACUGCUACAGGAUUGAAUUCUGAACCAAUUCCUCCUAACACACUCAUCAUAAAGUCAUAGUCACUCAUUGGUGCUCCUGCUGCUGCCAUGUUAUCUGCUAUGCCUUUCAUUUUGUGAAAAUAGUCAUAAACACUCAAAUCGUUCUUCUUUGUCAACAUCAUUUGAUUCUUCAGUUGCAAUGCUCUGGUUUUGUUUUGUGAGCCAGAAAGUUUUUCCAGAGCUUUCCAAACUUCAAAGGAAGUUUUGUAUCCGAGAACAAUUCCGAGAACACUCUCAGUCAUGGAAGAGAGUAGCCAACCUAGCAACUGCUGAUCAGUUCGCUUCCACAUCACAAACUCAGAGUUCGGAAUCCUCUGAUCUGUGCAUGGUGCUGUGAUUGAACCAUCAAUAUAUCCUUCUAAUCCAUUUCCCUGAAUGGAUGCCAAUACUUGCAUUUUCCAGAUCAAAUAAUUUGAUCUGUCGAGCUUAAUUGGUGUAGGAAAGGUAUAGGAAACAGUUGUGGUUUGAUUUAAGCUUGAUGAUGCCAUCUGGCUCUGAUACCAAGUUAGAAUUCACAAACCUUAAGCAUACAAUCUGUUUGGCUAGCAGGAAAGUGACGAAGGAAGAAAGAAAAAUAAACUGAAUAAGAGAAUUUUAUUAAUCUCGAAUCACACCCUUACAUUCAAGCUUUCAUCAACUUAUAUUGCUGAUUAAUAGAAGUAACAACCUCUGUAACAGCUGUCAAAUAACUAUUGGUUAAGCUAAGCUAAACAAUAACAAUCUAACUAAUUUGUCCAGCUCAGCUAUCCAGCUCAUCAAUCCUGGUCAAGUGAAUCUCAGCCAUUGAUCUGCUGCUGUUGAUUAAGCAUCUCAAAAGAGCCAAAGCGAUAGCGAAACAUCAAAUUGUUUUUAUUUCAACCUUCGCGCAACUUCCGGUGACAUAAUUUUUCUCUGUUUCAGGUACAUACCCAACACUAAACUUUGCAUGUAUCAUUCUUGUACUUUUGUUAUUCUUUUCUUUUCUUUUCUUUUCUCUUUUGCUGUAAUUUUUUAUGAAGCACUCUGUUUCAGUUCUGUUUCUGGUUUUGUUUCGGUUUAAUAUUAUUGGUUCGGUUCUGUUCUGCUCUGUUCUACGUCGUAUGUAUAUAUGUAUAUAUUUUUGGCCUCGAAUUGCUUUCAUCACCGGUUUUGUUAUUCAUUUAUCGUGAAAUUUAGAUGACUUGUUCGGCCAUGUUAUAUUCAGCUACCAUCUUCAUGGUGGGUUUGUAAGAUAGUCUCUGACUAACACAUGGCAUUGAUUAUGAAUGAUGGUUUUGUGAGAUACAUCAUACAGACGUUAACUCGUGUUAAUUUGUACUUACAUCAUUCAAAAGAUUACUGUUUUUCUCUCUUUUUUUUUUAAAAAAAAAAAAAAUUGAAAUGCCCCUUUUCGCAUUUUAUAGAUGAAAGGAAGAAACAUAAUAUCGCAGAACUAGAAUAAAGGAGCCUAUUCUGGUACCUAUUGUCCGAGGAACCUUCUGUAUAUUCGGUAGGAACUACCAUGGGAAGUCAAAUCUUACCAGAGCCAGGCGGAGUCGUUGCUGAAGGAAUAUAUAUUAGCAGAUCCAUUUGUCCCGUACACUUCAAUUGUUGGUAGCAUUUUUGCUUGCACGAUGGUAUGUUUGUCAUCGUUACUGCGUGGUGGUAUAUACUAGAAAAUAUUUUGAAUGCAUAGUUUUUAUUUAAUUAGUUAUAAAUUUUAUACCCUCUGUUUUCCAUAAGAAUGUGUUCCUUUUCAGGUCUAUGAUCUUGCCCAAUUGAUUAGUGUGCUGUUCACUUUAAAUCUGAUUCCAGUUUCUCCAACAUACAGCGGGUCGAGUGGAGUUUAAUCAUUUUUCUUAAAUCGACAACUUAUGCAGGGCCAUAUCAACUGUCCAUGACAUUUUUAUUACAACAAUGUCUUUGUACUUUGUGUUUUGGUCGGAUCUCAGAGUUUGUGCAUAGCACACUUGGUUCUACUGUUUGUUUGUCCCUUCAUAGACAUUUUGAUAAACUGUUAUUUUUGUUCUUUGGAAGUGAAUAUUUUCAGCAACUAGAACUCCGAAGCAUCUGGAGUGAUCCAUUUUGUCAUUCUCAAUACCUAUAAAAGAAUGUCAUAGAAAACAGUUUCCAAAGCAAGUUGCAUGUGUUUUGAAUUUGUCUUUGCAAGCCACUAAUUGCUUGGAGCACACUGUUAACCUGUCGCGAUCCCAUCCACUUUUUUGGAUAGACAAUUGUGCAUCCAUAUGAUCUGGACUAAACUAGUUUCUAAUAAAUAAUUGCCCAAGGAUUUAGUCUCAGUGUUACAGCCCAGUCUUUGUUGUCAAUACUCUUUCCCCUGUCGUGGAUGAGCGCCAUAACAGCUUCUUAAUGUUUUGCAGUGGCUUUUGCACGGUUGUUGUUUCCUUCUGAAGCUAGAGUAGCUACGGAUAGAGCGGAUGCAGAUGCCACCAAUUUUUAUACUGGCCUUUCAGCAUCAAAAUCAAAAGGAUCAAGUGGGAACUUAAAGGAGGUUGAUUUGAAUGAAACACCCUCUAUGCAAGCCAAGAGACUCCAAUUAAGAUUGCAAGCUCUGCUUAAAACAAGUAUUCAUAUACCUUAUUAGUUUUUGUACCUUUACAAUUUGUGAUUUUUGUAUCAAAAGAGAGGUUAAUUUUUAGUGCAUUUACUGAACUUUCUAUGAUUGCAGUGGAGACAGGUCGACGCUACUUCCCUCGUUGCUCAGAAAUGGUUGAUAAAUUUUAGGAUUGUGAUUGGUCCGAUGCUUCCUUCCUAGAAAAGGGUACUCCUGAAGAGCAGAGACUCAAAAGGGCACGCUUCAUGGAACUUAAAGAAGGCGUGAAGAAGGCAUUUUACAAAGACAUGGCUGAGAAAAUAUGGCUCAGGUUUGUAGUCAUCCUCGUCGUCGUCAUCUUCUCCCAAGGAAGGAGUAAAGUGUAAGGGUAGGAAAAGGUGAUGCUUAGCUGCUUGUCUUUGUUAUUCAUUUAUAGGCAACUAAAAGAGUUUUAGUGAGUUGGAUUGUUACGUUGUACAGAGAUACUCUUAGAGCCUAUGUUAUGGCUUAUGUUGUAUAAUAGCAGAGGAACUUCAAGCUUGCGUUGUUGUAUUUUCCCUGGUAUUUGGCAUGUAAUGCACUAAAUGACAAAGAAUUUUCUAAUUUUAGAGGGAAAAGUUAUGUCAGUUAAUUAUUUAUUUAUUUUGUCUGUUUAAUUCAGUUUAUAAUAUAGCUUUUUUUUUUUCUUUCCAAAAAAAUCUUCAUUUCUUCAUCUGCAAUUUAAGUCAUUUGUAACUUCUUUCAGGGAGGAGAGAGAGAAAAAAAGAAAAAGAAAAAGAAAAAGAAAAGAGUUUAUUUUACAGUACUGAUUUUCCUACAGAAAUUGGUUAAGGUGACAUUAAUGUUCUUUGAGGUGGACGGAUAUGCAGAUUUUUCGUCGAAAUUGAAAUUAGAAAUGGAUGGAUAUGCAGAAUUUUUUAAUAGAAUUUUUAUACAAAAAUUUGUAGCUCAUUACUCUCUAAAAGGAAAAAAUAAAUUUUUGAUGGUAAAUAUUAAAUUUUAAAUUUAUAAUAUAAUAACUUUGUGAGUUAAGGUGCACAAUACCCAUAUAUUAAUAAUUAAGAAAAGAAAAAAAAAUUAAAAUUUGUAAAUUACCAAUUUUUUCUUGAAAUUUGAUAUUCUAUAUUAACGUAGGUGUUGCAUGGACUGGGUUAGUACAAUUGAAAGAAACUAACUAAAGUAAAACAAAAUAUCAUUAAAAAUAUGGCAAGCUUCUCGUAUUUUUUAAGUGAAAAAGAGAAGAAAACUAAAAUUAAUUAUUGUUAUACCCAAAUUCUAGUGCUUGAAGGCCGCUGGAAUUGACCAUUGCAGUUUUGUCAUCCUCAUUAUUCACCGGCCAUCGUGGCCUUCCUCCAUUAAAAAAAUAAAUGACCAUUUUUUUGGACCACGACAUAUUAAAAAUAGUAUUGAUUAAUACUAAUAAAUCUCUUUUUUGAUUAUUUUGCAGUGCGAUAGUCCAGUGAGGGCAGUGCCCAUCGUAGCACUUCAACAUGUGGUAAAUUUCUGCCAAUCUUUGUAAAAUAAUUUUUAAAUUAUGUAUUAACCAGAUAGCUCAAUGAAAACUAUCGUUCACUAAAUCAUUACUUUAUUUUGUAUAUAUUUAUGGUAAUUGUUGAAAAGAAAAAUGUAAAGUGAGAUUAAUGAACGUUUAUGAAUGUGGAAAUUAACACAACCAGGAUUUAUGAUAAAAUAAUUUUAAGUCAAAUGAGCAUAAAUUUGUAUAAAUAUUUUUUGAAUUGUCAUAUAUAUACAAGUUUGUCACUAAUAGUAAACUUAAUUAUGAAUAUUUUAAUAAUUCAAAAUUUUAUUUAACAAUUGGUGUUUAUAGUGUUUUUCAUAAUACAAAAUUGUAAACAGUCUCAUCCUGAAUAGUAUAAUGCCAAACCUUUUCAAAAAUUUAUUCUAUUAUAGUCGUCUUAGUCAAUUAUAUUUAUUUUCAAAUUGAAGAUAAAAAUAGUACUUCAUAUAUCAUACAUUACUUAUAGUUUUUUUUUUUCAAUCAAAUUACGACUAAAAUUGAAAAAUUUACCAAUGGCUAUAUACAAAGUCUGAUUCUCAUGAGCUUAAAAGAUGGGCUUUGAAUGAUGUAUGGUACUCAAAACUCUACUUUUAUUAAUAUGAUUGCCCUGCUUCCUUCAUGACGGGUAAUUUUUAGUUUCUUCCCCUGAAGUUUGGCGUAUCUCCAUUUUAAUAGGAAGUAUUAGCGUAUCUCCCACUUUUCUCCCCUACCGUUUGUAUACCGUUUCAUAUUGUUAAUGGACGAAGCUACAAGUCUUCUCUUUCAUCAAAUCGAUCCAUAACAAAUACGAGUCUGCUUCACCUAACCAAAACACACGCAUACUCCAUCUCUAAAUGCUUUGAAGAUAAACAAAUCAACGGUAAUCCUGCAACUUUAGCUCAGAGAAUCGGAUAAGAAAAGAACAGGUGAUGAAUCAAGGGUAAUGGCGCCGAGUGAGUGUCGCCUGCGGUCGGCGUUAGAGGCGACUGUCACUCAAUCGCGUACAAGGUUAGUCUUUGAAAAAACUCUUUGCACGUUAGAAAUCAGUGAUUGGGCAUUAUUUUGUUAUUUAAAAAUGAAAAUGGGUUUAUUAGUUUGUCGAAGAAUCUGCUCUGUUGCCGGUGUUGUUUGUUGAUUAAAAUGAAAAUGGGUUUGUUGAUGUGUUGAAGAAGUUGCUCUACUGCUGGUGUUUUUUUAUUAAUUAAAAUGAAAAUGGGUUUGUUAAUUUAUUGAAGCAGCUGCUGGCAUUGUUAUUGCGACUUUAUUUAUCCAAUUGAUGAGCUUAUGAGCUAAUAGUAUUGUUUGAUCAAGCUUGUGUUCUUAAUAGUGGAGUUGAUAUUCUUAAAAAUGAAUUUAUGAUUAUGAGAAUAUGAAAAUUGAAUGGCAUCGUAGAGAUCUAGAUUAAUCACCAUCGUAUAUGUUUCUAAAUAAAGGAAUAAGCAGCAAUCUGAUUUGAAAGUUAAGACUUUAGGGAUAUGUAUGUGCAACUGAAUGAAUCAUCAGUUGCUAUCUUGUAAGUCAAUACUAGCAUAUUACUUAAUGGCAAGUGAAGCUAUUUUAUGUGUAUUGCUGCCUAUCAAAAUGUUUAUGUUUGAAGUUAUCUCCUUUUAGGAAAUUGAAUGCUUCUGUGAGUUCUCUGGUAAGGGCUAUACAACUAGCUCUAAUAGAUUCCUUCAUGUGCAUUAAUUAGCUUAGUAGUUUAUUGACCUAUAUCCAAUGUCUAUUCUUCUUUUCUGUAGCCGUCUAGUUUUAUGAGUGUGUGAAGUGAACUUUUGUUUUAUGUUUCAGGACUUGGGAUUAGAGUGUAUAACAUUCAAUAUCUUUUUAUCAAAGAACUGAUAUAUGUCAAUGUAGUGCGAUCUGGUCUUUAUUAGCUUCUUGAUUUGCCAGGAUGUUUGACAACCAUCUUUGACCAUGAUUGCCAACAUAUAAGCUGCUACAUAGUGUCUCAGGAAUCACAGCAAAUUAUUAUCAUAAUAUGGUGAUUUUGAAUCCAAAACUUGGUAGUGUCAAGAAAAUAGACCCAUGUUUAUUUAUCUUCAUGUUUUGUAUGCGGCUGCAAUAGACUAUUAUAAGUUACUUUUAGUUUUAUCAAGUUUUUUUUUCCUUAAAUUUCAUCGAGUCUUGGAGUCUUUGUAAUAUAGAGUCUAAGUGAAGAAUACUUGGGUGAAAUCUUGUAUUCUCUCUUCCAGUAAUAUAAUCAUCCUUUGUGUUUUUAUCUUUUUAUUUUGGUAUCAGAGCAUACUUUAUUAUAGAAGGACUUAGACUCUAUAUUACAAAGACUCAGCGGUUUCUUUUAACUGAGUUAAUAGUGUUGUUAUGUUAAACUAAGUUUGGCUUCAUAAGAUUCAUAGUAGAGUGUAGAACUGGGUACAAUUUUGGGUUAGACAAGUCAAAAGUCUUCUCAAGUAAUUGUUCUGCUUACUGAUUUGGUAAUUGCAACAUUGCUAAAUAGUUCAAUUUGUCCUUUUAUCUUGUUGAAUUUAUUGUAUGUCAUAUUACUUCAUUUAAUUAUUUUCUCAGAUCUUGUAGGUGAAAAUUUCAGCUUCAAAGGCCAAGCUAAUCAUCCAGCAAUUCAGUGAAACCAAGACACAGUGGCUCAUAAAUUGUUGUUGGUGAUCCAGCCAUUCGGGUGCUUGCCAGUCCUAGAUGAGAGAACUUUCAACGCGGCGCAUAAAUUGUUGUUGAUCUGUUUUAUAUAUUUUGACCUUUGUGAUUUGUGAAUACAUGGUUUGAUUCCAGUGUUUACAACUUUGAUACUGUGUAUAACUUGAGAAGCAAAUGAAACAAAUAGGAAAUGUGUUUUUAUUUUUUUUAUUCUAUCUAUCUAUUUAUUUUUUUGUUUCGAAAUGUAACAAUUUAUAGCUGGCAAAGUACUAGAGUUGUAUACUUGUAUUUAAUUCAUUAUUAUUAUUUUUUUAAUGACUCAGUAACGUCAUUGUCCAUGGUGUUUUGUCAUUUCGAAAGUACUUAACCCUUUGACGCUAAGGCACAUUACAGCUAGGGAUGGCAAUGGGGAGGGGAGGGGAGGGGAUCGAUCUCCCCGUACCCAUCCCUGAUAUUUUGCAUAUGUCCAUGUCCCCGUCCCCGUCAGAAUUACUUGAGAGAAUCCCCAUCCUCUCUCCGAAUAAUAACAGGGGAUCCCCGAAUAACUAAUACAUUUUUAUUUUUUUUUCGAUUUUGAGUUAAUCAUAUUAAAAUAAAAAAUUUAAAUAAAAGUAAAGUUCGAAAUAUAUCUUACAUUAAUAUCUAUUACAAAAGUUACAUACAUUAAAUUAGUAAGUAACGCAACAUGCAAGGGAUACAAACUUCUUUUACAAACUAUCAUGAAUAAAUUAAUAGUCUAAUACAAAAUUGUUACAAAUAAAAUUGAAUUUAGAUUCAAAAUUAACUUUUUCAAUAGUGGCGUGGGCACUUUAUAAAUGUGGACUAUUCCCUUUACAACACAAUAGUUAAAUCGGAGCAAAUCAAAAGUAAAUAUUAGAUUAGAUUAGAUUAAAUAUUAAAAUUGUGAUUCGCUGUGGGCAAUUAUAACAUCUAAAAAUAAAUAAAAAAUAGAUUUAAGUUUAAAAUAUUUAAAGAAUAUUAAAAUUAAAAAAAAUGUUGGGCUAAUAGAAUAUACUCGGUCUUUUUAAUGUCCUAAAUAAAAAUUUAGGACUUUAAUUAGUUAAUUAGGCCUAAAAAUUUAAUAAUAUAAAUAUUUUGAUAUUUUUUAUUUUUACCAAUAUUUAUAAUUUAAAUUUUAUUAUUUAUUUACUAGUAAUUUUAAAAAAUUAAAAUAAAAUUAAAAAUUAAAAUGGGGAAAUGGGUAGGGGAUGGGGAUUCCACCUCAUCCCCGUCCCCUCCCCGAAUAAGAAAUUGGGUAAAAAAAUUUCUUCGUCCCUUUCCCGAAUAAGAAAUUGGAUAUGAAAUUAUUCGUAUACCCUCCCCGAAUGGAAAAAAAUACCCGAGAGUACCCGUCUCCAUGAGGAUUUUUGCCAUCCCUAAUUACAGCAGCCGAAAUUUUGAGCUUUCAGUUCUUGAUUUUAGCGUGAGGGGUAUCUUUGUCGUUUCAGUUGUCAACAAACAAUUUGGGGGGGGGGGGGGGGGGGGGGGGGGUGGGUUGUUGGAGAUACGCUGAUACUUUCUAUCAUACUGGAGAUACACCUAACCUCAGGGGAGGAAAAUUACACCUUUACGACGUGUGAACUUGGGUCAAACUUUCAUAUUUUAAUCAAGUAGGUCGAUCACGAUUCAAGCUUCAGUCAUAAGCCUUUCGUUAUGAUUGAUAUUAUUCUUUCUUGAUAGUAUCAUGGAAAAUGCAAACGAAAAGUCAGCAUCUUUGAGUUUUGUCUCAUCAUAUCCGACUUGUUGGUCUACUAAUCAAUCGACAGGCCCUUUUGAUCUUGAUAAUUUGAACUUAAGGAGGCAAAGCAGCAAUCCUGAAGAGCCAUUGCUUGAUGCUGAGAUCGUUGUUGACGGCAAAUCAGUGGCAGUUAAUCGCAGCAUAUUGUCUGCACGCAGUCGUUUUUUUCAUUGGCUUUUUCAUUUGAGCAGUGAUGGUUCUGUGAGUGAGGGGAAACCCAAGUAUCUUAUGACUGAUUUGGUGCCUUAUAGGAAGGUUGGAUAUGAAGCUUUUAAUGAUAUCUUGCAUUAUCUUUACACUGGAAUGCGUAAGGCACCUCCUUCAGAAGUGUUCACGUGUGUUGAUGAUACUUGUGUUCAUCUUGUUUGCCCUCCUGCUAUUAAUUAUGUUAUUGAGUCGAUAUAUGCUUCUGCUGCUUUUAAGAUGACAGAGGUCGUUUCGGUUUAUGAGGUAGUUGCGCUUUCCCGCUACUUGUAUUGCUUAAAUUUAUGCUUAUUGGUAUAGUUUUAACAUAUGUGGGAUUGAAAUCAAUUUCAGUUGUGACUUGCAAAGAGCCAAAGAAUCUGUUGUUUUAUUUUGAAAGAGACAAAGAUGAUGAUGAUGGGCAGUGAACUCUAGGAAUCAAUGCUUGCUGACACUGACACCCAAGAAUGAUAAAAACUAACCAAAAAGGUAUAUAGAUUACAUGAGUCUGAAUUUGAUAAGUGCACCUAUCCUAUCGCAAAAAGCUUUUGCGUUCAGUUUCUAACCAAGGAAAAUUGUCACUUCUGUCUGUAGGCUUCAUAGAUUUGUUCAAGCCUUCAAGGAUGUCUAGCUGUUACUUAGGGUCCAACAAUGGUGCUACAUUUCUAGUGAAUGAUAUGUUAUCUACAUCUGUAUAUUGGAACUUUGACAAACUUCGCCUUUCCUUUGUUGAUACACUCGUCUCACUUUUAUUAAAUUGCCUGAUUAUGAAAUGGUCUAUUGGAGACUAGCAUUGGAAGGUUUCUUCUGGAGAAAAUUUUACUUGCCACCAAUUUUCAUUUUGGUCGGUGUCAGUUCAUGCGCUGGCUUGAUUGUUCUGUUAUUUAGGUUGUUUUAUCCGUAUUUUCUCACUAUCUUGAUAGUUAGUUCUCUCAUACUUCCAAUCUCAGCAGUGAAUGCGAAAGAUUCUCUUUUUCCUGUCCAGGUUAUAACCUAGCAAAUCAAUAAUGCUGUAGAAUAACAUCUUGUGUAGGUGAGCUUAUGUCUCUGAACAUUGGUCCACCGGCAUUUAGGUUCGAUAAGCAUGGCAUUGAUUUUCCCCCUCAUUGUUAUUUUCCUGCACAGAUUACCCCCUUUAAGUAUUUGAAUUUUGAAUACAUUAUUCUGAAUCAAAACUCUAUACGUCCGUGUAGCAUUUUAUAUAUGCUUUAUGAUAUUUACCAAUAAUUACCCACUGCGAGGUAUUUGAAUUUUGAAUAUAUUAUUCUGAAUCAAAACUCUAUCUGUCCGUGUAGGAUUGGCUUCUGAAGGUGGUUCGGGAGGCUCUUGUGGAAGAUGUAAUACCAAUUCUCGUAGCUGCCUUGCAGUGCCAACUGUACCCACUCUGUUCUUUCUGCAUCCAGAGAAUUGCAAGGUCAAAUAUUGACAAUGUUUGUCUCGAGAAAGAGCUUCCUGAUGAAGUUUCAAGUCAAAUCAAAUCACUCCGGGUCAAAUCUAACCAGGAGUCUGAAGCUAACAUAAAAGAAGUGGAUCCUAUGCAUGAAAAGAGAGUCAGAAGAAUCCACAAGGCGUUGGACUCUGAUGAUUUUGAACUGCUGAAUCUUCUUCUGAAUGAAUAUAAAGUCACUUUAGAUGAUGCUUACGCUCUGCACUAUGCUGCUGCCUACUGCAACCCUAAGGUUUUUAAGGAAGUGCACAAUAUGGGCUUGGCUGAUAUCAAUCUUAAGGAUGCAAGAGGACGUACGGUGCUUCAUGUGGCUGCAAGGCGUAAGGAGCCAGAAGUGAUGGUGGCUCUGCUGAGCAAGGGAGCAUGCUCAUCAGAAACUACACCAGAUGGGCAAACAGCUGUAGCAAUCUGUCGGAGAAUGACAAGGCGAAAGGAUUAUAUUGAAGCUACAAAGCAGGGGCAGGAAACUAACAAAGACUGGUUAUGCAUUGAUGUCCUUGAGAGAGAUAUGACAACGAACUCCACGUCUGGGAACUUGGCAAUGUCAUCAGAGGUGAUAGAUGAUGUUUUCCAAAUGAAUCUGGACUAUCUGGAAAAUAGAGGUGAUAUUUCUUUACUGGUAUUAAUUCAUCACCUUCUCAGAGUUUGUGCAUAGCACACUUCUUUUUACUAUUCGAUUGUCCCUUCAUCUUAGCAUCUCAAACACAAAUGGGCUCAGUGCUUGGAGCACACUGUUGGCCAGUCAUGUGAUUUGAUCCCUUUUUUGGAAUAGACAAUUCUGAAUACUGGUCUAGGCUUGGCGGUUUGCACUGAACUGGUUUUUGAUGAGUAAUUGCACAAGACUUUGUCAUCAAAACUUUUUUUUUUGGUUUUUUUUCCCCAAAAGUAAUGAGGUACAAAAAAUUUUUUGCCUAUCCUGGAUGAGUGCCGCAACAGCUUCUUAAUAUUUUGCAGUGGCUUGUGUACGGUUGUUUCCUUCUGAAGCUAGAGUAGCUAUGGAAAUGGCAGGUGCAGAUAUCGCCACUGGCCUUUCAGCAUUAGGUCGGAAAGGACUAAGUGGGAACUUAAAGGAGGUUGAUUUGAAUGAAACGCCCUCUAAGCAAGCCAAAAGAUGCCAAUUGAGACUGCUCACUCUGCUUAAAACAGGUAUUUACAUACUUUAUUAACUUUUGCGCCUUUCUAUUUACUGAUUAUCUUUAUAAUUAAAUAAUACAUGUAUCCAGGUUUCUCCUUCCAUUUCAUUAGAAGUAAAUUGGAAUCUCUUUAUAGUGCUCUGUUAGGUGUAAUCAGACGUAUCAAAAGAGACAGGGUAAUUGUUAGUACAUUGAUAUCUCAACAAAAUGGUAGAACCUUGCUUUAUACCACUAAAGACAUUUGUUGCAGGUAUGCCUACAUAAUCAGUGUCCUUUAAAACUUUCAAGGAGUUCGCAAUGCCUAACCCUUGAAACACUAAAUCUCACUAGAUCAACUCUUUACCUCUGGACUGAAGGUGUGACACCCAGACCCAAUUAGGGCUUAGAACACAUAUCGAAUCUGAGCGAAACUAAAUGCUUGUAAAUCCAAAUCUCCAAAAUAUCAAAAGGUCAUCUACUUUCUCUUUUCAUAGAUUUCACAAAAUUUUGAAAAACUCAUUCUCAAUCAUAAACUAUGCCCAGCUAAUUAAUCAACAUAUCACUAUACAACAAUACUUCCUCAUAAGCAAAUAAAUCUUACAAUCCUUCUUCCAUGAUUUAAAAAAAAAAAAAGAAAUAGUUCUAGAAGUCUUCUAAAUACAAACAUAAACAGAAUUCAACUGCUAAAACUGUGCCAAAAUACUAGCUUCAAUCAGUAAUACACACGACUAAUUAUUAAAUCAGUAAUACACGCGACUAAUUAUUAAAAACAUCUAGCUAGAAACCUUAUGAAAGCUCAAUCCUUCCGAAGCAUUCUUCGAAUUAAUAAUUGCUACCAUCUGUGAAAAAUAAUUGACAAGGGGUCAGCUGUUAACUCAAUCAGUAGAAACACUAAUAAUGAACAGAAAGAAUUCUUUGUGCAAUAUUUUCAGAAAAUUCAUUUAACCUUUCAAAUGAAACAGAGUAAUUUUUCAAACACAGUCAGGACUUAUAUAAAAUAUAAACAUUUCCGACAGAAGCUUUUUGGAACGUAAAUUUUGCUUCUUUAAACAGAAAGUUAUACAUUAGUUUGAUUUUAAAGGGAGGUUAUUGGGAAGUUAAAAUUGGCAGUUGUGGUAAAAGAGUAAUAGCAGUUAUAAAAUCUCUUUAAAAACAAAUUCGAAUCAAGUUUCAAAGUUUGGAAGUACUUAAUUCAAUAAAAUAAGGAAUAAAUAAAGCUUUCACUGAAACAAAACUAAGUAAAUUCAUUUAAAGCAAAACCGGAUGGGAGCAUUACCUAAGGAUUCUUGACCAUACCAUGUUUACCCGCAGUCAGAUAGCUGGGACCUUGUUAUUUGGGGACAAGACUUGAUUGUGCCAUGUUUUCCGCAGCCAGAUAUCUUUUACUUCAUUAUUUCCUAGACAUCUGUGGAUAAGAGAACCCUAAGCCUAUAGAGAAUAAAUUAUGUAAUCCAAGACUCUUCAGUCCUUUCAUUUGUGGCUAAUUAGUUAUAAAAUUUGUAAAUUUCAUGCCCCACGCCCCUUGCAAAAUGCAUUUUAUAUCCUUAAAAUGCCAGUGGAUGAACUGAAAUAAUAAAAAAUGGAAAACAGACUUAAUGUUGGUAGCAUUUCUUAAGAAAAACUUGGGAAGUUUAUAAUUUUCUUAGAGCAUUUGCUGAACUUUCUGUGAUCGCAGUCGAGACGGGUCAACGCUAUUUCCCUCAUUGCUCAGAUGUGGUUGAUAAGUUUAGGUAUUGCAACCGCCCUCAUUGCUCAGAAUUGAUUGAUGAGUUUUUGGAUUGUGAUUGGUCCGAUGCUUCCCUCCUAGAAAAGGGUACUCCUGAAGAGCAGAAACUAAAAAGGGCAGGCUUCAUGAAACUUAGAGUAGACAUGCAGGAGGCACUCCGCAAGGACGUGGCUUAUCACCGUUGUUCAGGGCUGCCAUCAUCCUGGUCGGCAUUUUACAAGUACAUGGCUGAGAGCAUUCGUUCAGGUAUGCCGACAUCCUCAGCAGCGAGCAAUUAAGCAUCACCUUUCCCCAAAAGUUAUAUUUGACUCCUGGGAAACUAAAGAGUUUAGUGAGCUUGAUUGGUAUUUGUAGUUUUUUUUCCCUCAAGUGAUCUGGCAUGUAUCAAUUAGUUUGUAAAAUUAUUGUAUGGAUCACAAACUCACAGAAUAUUUUUUUUGUAAAAUUAUGUAAUUUAUAGGCUAUGCUCAAAAAAUUAGAAAAAGAAAAAAGAAUUGUAUUACAGUUGGUAUGAGACAUGCAUGUGUAAGAUAAUCUUGUUUUUUUGUUUUUUGAAACUGGAAACUUCAUUAAAAGGCAAAGAUUACAGAGAAGUAAGUAACCAAGGAGGUGGAACAUGACUCCACUCCUUAAAGCCCGACAAAGAAUCCCCCACCCGGGCAGUAACAUGGGCAGCAGUGUUCGCAGACCUUCGAACAAAAGAGAAUUCAAUAUCUCCUAUAGACUUAGCUAAAGCUAGACAAUCAUCAAGAAUAAGACCACACCAAUUAGGACAAGAAUAACUUUAUGUGAGAGCUUUAAAAACCUGAAUGCAGUCCAUUUCAACUACAACACAUAUAAUCUUUUGUUUUAAAAAACAGAAAACUGGAGAUUUCUUUUAUUUUUCCUUAAAAAAUGAAGAAAAUUUUAGAAAGUAGUGAGAGAAAUAAAGUAAUUAUAUUCAUAAAUAUAAUGUGUUUGCUGCAGCAACACAAACUAAUAAAUUAUAAUUUAUGAGAUUAGCUUAGAGAAUCAUACAUAUAAAAUUAUAUUCUUUGAGUAAAAAUCUACACAUCUCUUUUAACUUCUCAUUUAGAUGUUCUUUCUAAAAUCUCUCCAGCGAUAAAUACAUUUUUAUAAAACAAAACAGAAAAAAAAAAUAUAAUUGUUUAUAAGGGGACUCACCUAUGUUGCAACAGUGAUAUUAUACCGCGGUUUUGUCUUUAUCUCAUGUUACCAUUAGAUUUUAAAGCAAGUGAUCCAACGCACAAGAGAUGGCCACGUUUCUAUUAAAGCAAACUGGGAAAUUCGGUUAAGAAAAGGUAAAAUUACUUGUAACAGAACUCACCGUGGGUUACUCAACUUUGCUCUGUGAAAAUGCACGGUUGCCUGUUGCAUAAGGAUUGUAGAGAUGUAAGCCCACAGUGACUGUGUCUGUGCUCAUCGCCACCUCGAAGUUGCCAAGGGAGCUUCCCCUUUUCGGCCGUCAUGUCCGACAGGAAAAUACCAAGCUCCACCGGCGCUCUCAUUUGUCGCAAGGGUUUAAAGGGUUUCAAUUAUUGAAUGAGCAGAAGAAAAUUUAUUGAAAGAGAGAGUGUAAUUAUCAGAAAUUGGUUAGGCAUGGAAUGUUUAAUAUUCUUUUCUUAAAUCUUAAAUCAUUUUGGGUAUUUGGGUGCUUGUGAAUUUUAUUUUCUUGUAAUGAAUUUAUGAAUAUUUUUACUUGGGAUUUGUCUCGGUGAAAAGUUUAUUUUAUUUUAUUUAUUUGUGGAUAAAUGAAGUUGAUGUUUUUGGUAUUAUAAAACUAGGUUGUUUGUAGGCGUUGUAAGAAUAUUGACAUAUUAUGCCAUGUUUGUCAAUCUAAAUAAAAUAUAAGAAAACCCGUUUGCUUGUUCUCAUGUAGCUUUGAGAUUUGUGAGUCACUUUGUAGUGGGUUGCAACAUGGUUUGUCGUUGAAAAUGAAUUGGCUGUAAAGGGUGAAAUGAUGCUGAAGAUAAGUUGAAAUUGAAUUCAUUAAAGUGGUUUGAGCACUAAGGUAAUCAUCCACACUGUAAUACUUUUUUAAUAUGCAUAAAAAAGAAAGAAAUAUGAAGUUUUAUAUACAGGUUUACUUGUUUUAGGUGGCUGAAACUUUGUUUAGAUGCCAUCUUUUUCCUUUCAACUGGCAAAUAUUGACAAUGCUGAGUACUACACAUGGUUAAUUAGGGAUAUAGAGUUUGUUAGUUUGGUCAUUGAAGUAUAGAUUGAAAAAAUGCAUAAUAUAUAUGUUUCAACAUUUAACCACUUUUCAAUGAGGUAGCUACUUUACUUGCUAGUUCAAUUUUUAUGGGAUUGGUGUUUUUUCUGUUUGACAUGCAUUAUACAUUUAUCAAUUUUACCAAGAUAAGAGUUGCAUAAAUCUGUUGAAAUAUUUCAUUCGAGGAUCGGUUUAAGAGUGUUUUUCUGCAGAACUUAGAAAAUGUAUUCUUGAAUGCUCUGUAUUCGGGCUUUAUAAUUUGUUAAAAUUUUGAAAAAAGAGGGCAAUCAUUUAUUUACAGAUUGAAAGCGAAAACGACUUGAUCCCCAUCCCUGACGUCCCCCCAUCGCAGUGAUAUGGACCUAUAAAGUGCAUCUCAGUACAUUGAUUGAGUUGUUAUCUAACCCCUUAAUUGAGUUGAUUGAUUGUCUGGGUAUUUUUAAUUUUUUUUUGUUAUUAGUGGAAUUUUGAUUUAUUGGAAUGCAAAAAUGAUGAUUUUUCAAUUUUUUUUUUUUUUUUCUAGGGGAUUGGUUGUGAGCAUAAUCAAAUUACUUAGCUAAAUCAAAGAGAUGGCUACUAUUGGUUAGCUGGGAACUAUUUUUAUCUGACUGACCUCUAAGCUGAUAAUUCUAAUCCAUUAUGAUUUAUUGGUUUUAUCUGCAUGUGGAUUAUUGCAUUGAAGCAUCAGUUAGUUGCUGUAGAUUAGUUUUCUACCAAGUAUUAUGUACUUCAGUAAAAUUCUGAGGGUGAUAAUUGUUAAAUCUCGCUUAAAUUCCAUUCAUGUGAGCAAGAUACAAUUUUGUUCUAAUUUUCUUCUAAACUUUUAUAUGGUGGAAAUCUUCUUAGAAUUAAGAUUGUUGUGCAUUCUUCUUGUAUUUGCUCAGUUGAUGAAUUUCACAGAGUUGCCUGUAUUCAUUGUUGUGUGAAGACAUCAUGUAUGGUUUGCUAUCGUGUCUUGCUUGAUUCUACUUCAUGUGAACUCAUCUCCCACAUUCUGAGCACUGCUAUAUUGUUUUCCGAAAGUUAUUGAGCAUUUUGCAAAUCAAGUUUAUUACAAUUGCUUCUUAUAUAGACGAAGUGUAAUAACUUACAACUGGUACUAAGACUACUUUAUAUCCCUUAUCCCACUAGAAAGAAGGCCCUUAUGUUCCUAAAUUAUAUGUUCUCCUAUUACAUAUUACAAGCUAGGAUAAAGCAAUGAUACAAGCUAAUCAGGUACGAUGCAACCAAAAAUUUCAAUUUUAAAUUUAUUCUUGUUAUUUUACAUUGAAAUAGAAUUAGAAUGAGAAUCCUUCAGUGUCAAAUGGGAAGUUUGAAACAAAUUUUGCAGGAUCAAAAGGGAAUUGGCGGCUAAAUUGCUGGCUGAUUGUAACAUAGCUCAGGGAGAUCAAAUUCUGAUUGCUGCAGAUUAUGAACAUCUCCAAAGUUCAUCUGGUAUUGUGAAAUGUAAUAAAAGUUUGAUUUAGCUGUGGCAUGAGGCAUAAAUGAUGAGGAUUAGUGGCUGAAUUGGUGACUAAUUGUAGCUUAGGGAGAUUAGAUUCUGAUUGUAGCUCAGGGAGAUCAGAUUCUGAUUGCUGCAGAUUAUGAACAUCUCCAAAGUUCAUCUGGUAUUAUGAAAUGUAAUAAAAGUUUGAUUCAGCUGCGGCAUGAGGCAUAAAUGAUGAGGAGAAACCACCCAAGAAAUUAUUCUCAUCAAGCAUCGAAGACGAAAAGCAAUGGUCAUUGCUAUGUGUGUGUUCAAAUGAUGUCGUCAGAAAAGAUAGAAGAGAUGCAAUCUCUUUAUUGUCCAAGUACUCAUUAUUAACACCUGAGCCUUUUUUAUGAUUGUUACUAUGGUGGCUUAGUUUUUGUUCAUGUUUUUAUCGCGAUGUUGGUUGUGGAAUCGAUUGGCUGCCACUGAAACAAAUGUGUUCCUCUGUAUGUGACCUCAAAUAUGAAGGGGUCUUCAUCUGAUCUUUGCAAUUGCUUUUUAACCCAAUAGUUUUGUGUAUUUUUGUAGGUGUAUCUGUAAUAGCUUCUGCAAAUCCAAAUUAAUAAUAAUAAUAAUAAAAGCUCAUAAUCAGACUUAUCAAUAAGAAAAACUCGUCAAUUAAAAAAAUUAAAUGUGAUAAGAGGAAAUACUUUUCACCUGGGAUAUUUGGCCCCAAGGAUAUCUUUCUAGCCAUAUCUUCUCCAUCUAUAUCUAUCUGCAAGGGGUCCUUCAAGGCCACUCUCAAAGUCAACUUUAUCUGUCCGUCUUGGCAAUGUCUUUAUGCAGCACAAUUUUGCAAUAACCAUUAACAAGAAAAUAACUUGCAGACAUUCACAGGGUAAAUAAAUAUUCAUUUAAGAUUACAAAUUCACCUUUGCUUUGAUCUAUCUUGAUUAUCCUUCAAAGCCCCAUCAAAAUCCUCACUUUAAGGGCUCCUAUUGAUGGAUAUUGGAGACUCAGGUAGUGCACUACUAGUUGCUCCCAUAACUUGAGCCUGUCCCAUUGAGCCACUCUAUUUCAGAAUCAAAAGAGCUUUCUCAUUUGAAGACAAUAUCAUCUGCACUAGUACUUCACUUGUUUCGGCUGAUAUGUGAAUAUGGUUAAUGCUACAGGUGGCAUUGAGGCAUAACGUAAGGACCAAAUUUCAAACACUACAAAACCAUAUCAAAAAAAGUUUGCUCUUCCAGCGCGAUCUUUCUCAUUUGCCUUGGCAAUAACAUUCAAAGCAAAUCUCUCCAGGAACAAAUUGCCUUCAGGCCCCAACUUCAAUGACUUCUUAUCUUGCAAAGGACUAAUAUCAUUCUCACCAAUUACGAAAAAUACAUAAUGAUGAAAGGAACCAUAAAUCUGGGAGAGAACAAAUACAUUAAAAUUUUAUUGCCUCAAAUUUUACAUUUAACUGAAUAGCAGUCACAAUGUGAGAAAUUUCAAAAAAAGUCAGUGAAAUGAAAUAACCAAAAGGAAGCUCCACAACUCAAAACUACAUAAAUCAUUCGAUACCUUAAAAACACUAGACAACAACCUUAAAAACUACAUAAUCCUGCUGCAUCCGCUUCGAAUGACACAACAACAAAUAAAAAUUGUAUUGAUUAAUAGUAAUAAAUUACAGUUGGUAUGAGACAUGCAUGUGUAAGAUAAUCUUUUGUUUUAAAAAACAGAAAACUGGAGAUUUCUUUUAUUUUUCCUUAAAAAAUGAAGAAAACUAUAGAAAGUAGUGAGAGAAAUAAAGUAAUUAUAUUCAUAAAUAUAAUGUGUUUGGUGCAGCAACACAAACUAAUAAAUUAUAAUUUAUGAGAUUAGCUUAGAGAAUCAUACAUAUAAAAUUAUAUCCUCUGAGUAAAAAUCUUCACAUCUCUUUUAACUUCUCAUUUAGAUGUCCUUUCUAAAAUCUCUCCAGCGAUAAAUACAUUUUUAUAAAACAAAACAGAAAAAAAAAAAAAAAUAUAUAUAUAUAUAUAUAUAUAUAUAUAUAUAAUUGUUCAUAAGGACUAUUUGUACAUAGUACACAAUUGGCCACCAAAGUUAUUUUGGGAGAAAAUUUACAUGAGAUGGGUACAUCACAUCAUCAGUAUUUUUGUCUCAAUUUCAACAUGCGUCUGUUGUACGAAUCUUACGAGAAUGGUCUCUCAUAAAUAUGAGAGAUGGUGAGGAGUGGGUUAAAGUGCAUCUACAUAGAAUUAAUUAAAAUUAAAAUUUUAUUUUUUUUAACUAUUUUUAAUUAAAAGUAGUAGUUAUUCUUUUUAUUAUUGUUAUUCUCGUUAUAUCAACAUCAAGUGACUGGUGAUCAAAUUAAGUAGCUCAUUAAAUUUUUUAAGUGACGUAUGUUAUGGAGUUUCUGUGCAUCUAUUUAAAUAGUAAAAUAUUUAAUUUUGCUUGUUGUAAAAUUUUAAUUUACGUGGGUUAAAAAAGAAAAAAAAAAGAAAAAAGAAAUUGACUUAUUAAUUAAUUAACAAUUAUAGAAAGAAUAAAUUGAAAAUUGUAGUUGGGUGAGAAAACUAAUUCCUUUCCCUGGCUUCGUGCGUUUGCUUUUGCCCUUGCGAGCACGAAUUUGAAUCCAAUACUUUAUAAUAAAGAUAUAAUAUUAUUAUAAUACUAAUAAUUAACAUUAAAAUAUUAUUUAUGCCAGUAUUAAAGUAGUAAAUAUCUAAUUUUAAGAUUAUGGAAAGCUCCGAAAAAUCCGGACGUGGAAAAAACCCUAGCGCUGGAGGAAUUUUCCCUCCGCCGUUCAGGGAAACUAGAACCACUAAGAAAGCACGGUUUCGUGAUGAGGAGGUUGCUGAUGAUACCCCUGUGCAUGUCUCGUAUAAGGAAACCCUCGUGAACUCAUCGCGAGCAAUGGAGACGGGUUAUGGUGGCGAAACAGUGGACUGGGAGUUUGAGGAAGGGGAUGUGACUGAGAAUAAAGAUGGACCUAUGCCUUCCAUAACCUUCUCGGAUAGGGUUCAUGAGAAGUUAUGUGCGCCAUGGAAGAACUCAGUGAUAGUGAAGUUGCUGGGCCGGACAAUCGGAUAUAAAACACUCUGUACGAGAUUGAAUGCUAUGUGGAAAACAACAAUGAGUUACUCGGUGAUCGACUUAGAAAACAACUAUUUCCUGGUUCGUUUUCGUUCGGCUAAUGAUGCUGUUGAUGCCCUCACAAAAGGCCCUUGGAUUAUCAUGGGACAUUAUCUCACGGUGCAGCCAUGGACGCCAUCUUUUGAUUUCAAUACAACGGAUAUGGAUCAAGUUAAUGUAUGGAUCCGUUUACCUGGACUCGCUGUUCAUCUAUAUAACCAGAAAAUUCUUCAAAAGCUCGGACAGUUGGUGGGUACAGUGAUUAAAAUUGAUUCGAACACAGCUUCCUCUGCGCGUGGGAGAUUUGCCCGACUUGCAGUUAGUCUCUCCCUGGCUAAGCCUUUAGUUUCUCAGUUUGUGUUGGAUGGUAAGGUACAGAAGGUAGAGUAUGAGAGGCUGCCAGUGAUUUGCUUCACAUGUGGUAGAUACGGCCAUAGUAGUAGCAAUUGCAAGGACUCGAGUUCAAUAAACAAUUCUGGAGAGGGUGCUCAACCACAACCUAAUAUGGAACGUCAGGAGAUCCCUAUCAAACUAGAUGAACAUUGUAAUGAUGCUAGUAUUGCCGAGCCGUUUGGACCAUGGAUGAUAGCCACGAGAAAAGGCAGAAAAUUUAAUAGUGGCAAGGACAUGACCAAUGGUUUUCAUAGGAACCGUGAGACUAUAGGGGCUAAUUUGUCCAGAUUCCAAAUAUUAGAGCAGGUCACUGACGACCGUGAGAACCCCUUCCAUGCAGCUAUGAAAGAUAACCCUUCCACUUCUCAUCAACCAACCACGGCCAAUCCUCACCAGAUAUUCACUGCCAACCAUGAAGCUAGAACAAAAACUCCGGCUCGACACAAGCAACACACCACAGCUGUUACUACAAAACCCCAGAGGAAGACCCCAACCCGAAACCCUUUCCAACAGAGGGCUUUCACUAUAAGAGAGGAAAAUACAAACUAUUCACUUCAUGCAAACCCUCAGACCACAUCAUGCUUUAACCCUCAGAUUAGCCCUAGUCAUCAACAAAUCUCCCCUCUUGUUACAACCUUGGACCCAAAGAAGCAUACGGUGAUUUUUUGUGCUACCCAAAACUUUCCUGCUGGGGGUGUAAGGGAGGCAGUCAGCGAGCAUAGAGAUUGGUUGUGACCAGAAUAUGAACACUCGUCUGACCCUCCAGACGAUCAAAAUGCGGCUCGUGUAAACGACAUAAAUGCUCAAGCACAUCCGGAUGUGUAUAUGGGUGAAAAUAAUGGGGAGGAGAUGUCCGAUGAGGAGGAUUCGAUGAUUGAGGAAACACCCUCGGUGUUGAUGCCUGAAGUGAAUGGACAACAUUAAUAAGGUGUCUGCGUUUCCUUCUUUUGUUUUGUUUAUUUCAUGACGAUUAGCAUUAUGUAUUGGAAUGUCCAAGGGGCAGCUUCGGCUGAUUUUCGGCGCUCUUUUAGGACAAUUAUUAAAAAUUAUAAUCCAUCUAUGGUGGUUUUGAUGGAGCCUCGCAUUAGUGGGGUUAAAGCAGAUGAUUUCAUAAAGAUGAGUGGUUUCGAUCAUUCUCACCGAGUGGAAGCAGAGGGCUUUUCUGGUGGAAUUUGGCUUCUUUGGCAGAGUUACAUAGAGGUGGAGGUACUGCUGAAUCAUAGGCAGUUUAUUCACUUUAAAAUAUGUAGGAAUAAUGUAUUUGUGUCUUGGGGAAUGGCUGUCUAUGCUAGCCCAAACCCAAUGUUGCGGAGACAGCUGUGGAAGCAUAUGGAUAGCAUUGCUAUGUCGACUCAAGGGCCUUGGCUAAUUGGAAGGGAUUUUAAUUCUAUUUUGUAUGCUUCUGAAAAGCAGGGGGGUGUUACACGGAGUUCUGGAGUGUGCGACAUUUUUCGGCAGUGGUUUGAUGGGCACCGAAUUUUUGAUCUAAAAUUUAAAGGUCCUCGGUUUACCUGGUCUCGUGGACUUCUGUUUAAACGUCUUGAUAGAGCUCUCUGUAAUAGUGAUUGGCUAACAAAAUUUGCGGACAAUUCUGUUCUUCACCUUCCGAAAGUUGCUUCAGAUCACAGGCCGGUGCUGGUUCGUUUCGAGAAAGCUGAUUCAAGACAUCGGGGGUCUAGGCCAUUCCGUUUUUUAGCACCUUGGCUGACUCAUGUACACUUCAAUUCUUUUGUUAAGAAAGUGUGGGACCCUCAAGCCCAUUAUAGUGAUGCGGCGUCCCAUUUUUUCCAAGCAGUCCAAGAGUGGAAUAGGGAGGUGUUUGGGAAUAUUUUUCAGCGAAAACGACGACUAAUGGCUCGAAUAAAUGGGAUUCAGGCUGCCUUAGAAAGUUACAACUCCCGAGGGCUUGUGCGUUUAGAGGCUAGGUUACGGAACGAGUUAGAGAUGGUGAUGGGUCAAGAGGAAAUUUUUUGGUGGCAAAAAUCUAGGAAAGAUGAGCUCUUGCACGGGGACAGGAACACUAACUUUUUCCACCAAAAAACCAUAGCAAGAAGACGGAGAAAUAGAAUUGAAGCUAUUCAAGAUAGUUCGGGAAACUGGAUUUAUAGCGAGGAAGAGAUUCGUAAUCAUGCAAUUGGGUAUUUUUCAUCUUUAUACAGAAGUGAAGCUACAACCCCUCAACACUAUCAGGUACCGAAUUUUUUUCCAGUCUUGAAUGCUUAUGAUUUGGAGAGUACUACUGACCUAGUUUUGGAUGAAGAAAUUAAAAGGGUGGUUUUUAGCAUGAAGCCCCUCAAAGCUCCAGGUACUGAUGGCUUACAUGCCAUCUUUUACCAGUCUCAAUGGCCAGUUGUUGGGCCUUCCUUCUGCAAGCUUAUGGCUGAUAUUUUUAGUUCGGGCAAGAUCCCCCAGGAAAUCAAUACCACCCUUUUGGUAUUGAUUCCUAAAGUGGAGCACCCUACUAGCCUAAGUAUGUUUAGGCCUAUCAGUUUGUGCACAUUUGCUUAUAAAACAGUAACUAAAAUAAUUGCUAACCGCCUGCAAGCCUUGUUGCCUGAACUCAUAGGACCCCAUCAUACUAGCUUUGUACCCGGCCGCCAUAUUAUCGAUAAUAUUGUCGUUGCUCAGGAAGUGGUUCACUCCAUGCGAAAGAAAAUGGAGAAAAAAGGGUUUAUGGCUAUCAAGGUGGAUCUUGAAAAAGCGUAUGAUCGACUUAAUUGGGCCUUUAUUUUUUAUACUCUUCAACAAACUGGUCUUCCGAUUCAGUUAUCUAGACUUGUCAUGGAAUGUGUAACUUCGGCUCGAAUGAGUAUUUUGUGGAAUGGUGAGGCUACAGCAGAAUUUGCCCUAGGGAGAGGAAUCCGUCAGGGAGAUCCGCUAUCUCCUUAUAUUUUUGUCUUGUGCAUUGAACGGUUGAGUCAUGGAAUAACCCAAGCCGUGAGGGAUGGUAACUGGAAGCCUAUUCGAUUGGCCAAGCAUGGAACUCCACUAACGCACUUAUUUUUUGCAGAUGAUUUGCUCCUUUUUGCAGAGGCGUCAAUUGAUCAAGCUUAUACUAUAGAUGCAGUGCUAGAAAAUUACUGCCGAAGCUCUGAAGCUAAGGUCAAUAAGUCGAAAACUAAAAUUUAUUUUUCUAAGAAUGUUGUUUCAAGAGAAGCUCAGCUCCUCAGUGAUGUUUUGGGGUAUUCAGUUACAAAGGAUUUGGGGUGCUAUCUUGGAAUGCCACUUCUCAAUUCGAGAGUGAAUAAAGCUACUUAUCAAAUGAUUCUUGACAAGGUGGAUAAGAGGCUCACGGGCUGGAAUGCAGCUCAUUUAUCCUUUGCUGGCCGAAUCACUUUGGCCCAUUCGGUGCUUCAAGCAAUGCCAAUUUAUGCAAUGCAGACGACUUUACUCCCAGCUCCGGUGCGUGGGAAGAUUGAGAAGUCUUGCCGUCGGUUUAUUUGGGAUGGGAAGUCGAAGAGCCAUAAGAUGAGCAUGGUGGGUUGGAAUAAAAUGUGCAUGCCGAAACCUAAAGGUGCCCUGGGGUUUAAGAAGAUGGAUGUGAUGAAUCAGGCUUUGUUGAUGAAGCUGAGCUGGGAAGUUGUUUCGAACUCAUACAAGUUAUGGGUAAAGGUUAUUUGUUCAAAGUAUGGGUUAGAUCCUAGCCAUUUACCGUUGUCCCUCCCUGAGAAACAAGGAACUAGAAUCUGGAAGGCCAUAAGGAGCACAUGGUCAGCCACCAUAAUGGGAGCUCGCUGGGCUGUCUGUGAUGGAGCUCGAACUCUCUUUUGGCUUGACUGCUGGGCAACAAAGCAAGGCCCGUUGAUCAAUCUCGUUGUCCAUCCAGUGCCUCAAGAGUUGGUUAACGCUACGGUGAGCGAGUUUAUAAACGUGCAUGGGGGCUAGAACUGGCCAGCUUUUGAACAUUUGCUUCCUAACUCUAUUCUGCUGCAAAUUGCUUCGGUAAUGCCUCAUAAUCGUCUUCUUGGUGUUGAUAAAAUCUACUGGCAUUUUGAACCAAGAGGUAACUUUAUGGUUCGCUCGGCCUAUGAGUCUCUAUGUCAGUUGGAUUCAACUGCUACCGACACUGCAUGAAAUCUAGCAUGGACUUGGAAAGGGCCGCAAGCAGUUCGCAUCUUCCUUUGGCAGGUUCUGCAUGCGAAGCUGAAGAUAAAGGAUGAACUAUCUAGGCGGCAUAUUCCUAUAUCUAUAGGUUGUGAACGUUGUGGGGCUCCACUUGAGGAUAUUAUCCACGUCUUGAGAGAUUGUCAUUGCAUCAAGAGGGUUUGGCUUCGGCUGGUGCCAGCUCGGAAUCAACUCUCCUUCUUUCAGUCUACAUUACGAGAUUGGAUUAUUGCUAAUUUACAAAAUAAGUGGAAAAUUGCUUCUCCAUUAUCUUGGGAAUGUAUCUUCGGCGUAGCGGUUUGGAGAUUAUGGUAUUGGCGGAAUCAUUUUAUCGUGCAUGGGAAGUUGGCGGAUAGCUCAACAGUUUAUUUAGAUAUUAUGGCCAGAGCUAACGAAAUCCAUAGACUAAAUAAUUCUCACAUAAGUCAGCAGCCGCGGCGAAAGGAAAUUUUUAUUGGAUGGCUUCCACCUCCAGGGCCUUGGUGCAAAUUGAAUACAGAUGGGUCUUGUAGAAAAUCUGAGGGUGCAGGAGCUGGGGGUAUUCUUCGAGACUCUGUUGGCCACUGGAUUUCUGGAUUUUGUAUGAAUAUUGGAGAAAGUUUGGUGCUCAUGGCUGAGCUUUGGGGGUUGUAUCAAGGAUUACGUAUAGCUUGGGAUACUGGCAUAAAACGUAUUUUGGUUGAAGUGGAUAGCCUUUGUGUUACUCAAAUGAUCUCGAAGCAGGUGGUUGUGCCUAACGAAUUCUAUGCAUUAGUCGCUGCUGUCCAGGAAUUAGUUAGCAGAAAUUGGCAGAUUUCCAUCACCCAUAUUUAUCGUGAAGCAAAUUCGGCGGCGAAUUUUAUGGCGAAUAUGGCUCAUUCACACCCCCAUGGGUUGCAUUUAUUUUCUAGCCCGCCUGUGGGUAUUUAUUCAAUUAUUGUGCAAGACUUAUUUGGGGUGUCUCAACCCCGUCUUAUUCAUGUUUAGCUCGCUUGUUUGAGCCCCAUUUAAUAAAAAAUACAUUAAAAUAUUAAAAAAUAAGAAAAAAUUCCAAAUUUUUCUAUUUCUGGUUUUAUUUCAGUUUAAUAUUAUUGGUUCCGUUCUGCUCUGUUCUUGGUUGUCUGUAUAUCUGUAUAUAUUUUUGGCCUCGAAUUGCUUUGAUCACCGGUUUUGUUCUUCAUUUAUAGUGAAUUUUAGAUACCCAUUAAACUUGUUUGGCCAUGUAUUCACUUGAUUGUUACAUUCAGCUGCCAUUUUCAUGGUGGGUUUGUAAGAUAGUCUCUGACUAACAUAUGUCAUUGAUUAUGAAUGAUGGUUUUGUGAGAUACACCAUAUAGACGUUAACUUUGUCAAGAUUGAUAUCUCUUCUAGAUAUUCAAACUUUGAAUAUCAAAUUUAAAAUUCUAGAUAUUCAAAGUUUGAAUAUCAAACUUUGAACUUUGAAUUUUGAAAAAUAAUAAAUAAUUGAAAAAAAUACGUGAAUAGUAGCCAAGAUUUUGGCUAUAAAUAGAGGGGCUCAUUCCCUCAUUUGCUCAUCCAAUUUUGAGAAGAGUUUUCUUGUAUUUAGAGAGAGUUUAGAGAGCUUGAAAUUAUAAGCUCUUGUUUUAGUGUUUUAAGAGUUUGGGUGUAUUGGGGUUUUGGGAAGUGAGCUAAAAUACUAUAAUACUUGUAACUCAUUUUCACUAGUAAACUAUUUUUCUUCUGUCUUCGCCCGUGGACGUAGGCUAAAAGCCGAACCAUGUAAUUUCUGGUGUCCUCUUUUAUGCUUGUUCUUUAUUUUCUUCCAAUUUCAUUUUAGCUACGGCCCUGCUUCACCCAUCAAUUUCCUAACAGUGGUAUCAGAGUUAUUGGUUGUAUUUUUGGAGUCGGGUACUAUUCACGUAUACGGUACUGUUCAGGUAUACGAUAUUAUUUAUGUAUACGGUAUUGUUCACGUAUACGGUAUUGUUUAUAUAUACGGUACUGUUCAUGAGAAACUGUGGGAGCGAUCCAAGAAUUUUGCGGUGCAAAGCAGGGAAUAGUGGUGUGAGUAAAGCAACUGUGUGAUUUUGUACAUGUCUAGGAAAGUUCUGUCACAAAGGCGAUAAGAACUUAAGGAGUCUGGAUUUUAAGUGGGACCAUUGUGACCCCUCCAGUCUUUCUUGGGAACUUUCCUGGUGUGCAUAUUCACACAUAUUCACACGUACUCACAACUAUUCGAGGUGAUACACUAGUUUGUGUACAAUAUUUAUCAACAAAAUGGCGGCAAAGUAUGAAAUUGAGAAGUUCUACGGGAAUAAUUUUUCGUUAUGGAAAAUGAAGAUGAAAGUUGUAUUGAGGAAAAAUAAUUACUUGGCAACAAUUGGAGAAAGGCCCAUGGAGAUAACUGAUGACAAGUGGAACGAGGUAGAUGGCAACGCCAUUUCUGAUCUACACUUGGCACUUGCUGAUGAAGUAUUAUCCAGUGUGGCAGAGAAAAAUACAGCGAAGGAAAUAGAGAUACUCUCACAAAAUUGUACGACGCCAAGUCACUACACAACAAAAUCUUAUUGAAGAGAAAACUCUAUACUCUUCGAAUGGCGGAAUCUACAAUCGCGACCGACCACAUCAACACCUUGAAAACUCUAUUUUCACAACUCACAACGUUGGGUCAUAAUAUAGAAGAGAAUGAACAUGCAGAGCUUCUACUUCAAAGUCUACCAGAUUCGUAUGAUCAACUCAUCAUCAACCUGACGAACAACAAUCCAACGGACAGUAUAGUUUUCGACGAUAUUGCAGCCUCCGUAUUAAAUGAGGAGAGCAGAUGGAAAAAUAAGGAAAACAGACAAGCAAGUUCGCAGCAAGCGGAGGCGCUAUCGAUGACGAGAGGGAGAUCAACAGAACGUGGCCCCAGUGGGAGUCACAAUCAUGGUAGAUCAAAAUCUAGAAGUAAGAAGAAUGUUAAAUGCUAUAAUUGUGGCAAGAAAUGGCACGUCAAGAAAGAGUGUUGGAGUAACCAGAAGAGAAAAGAGGGUAAAGAUCAUGAGUCAUCAAAUGCUCAGGGGUGUGUAGCAAGUACCUCGGAUGAUGGUGAAAUUCUCUACAGCGAGGCAACAACUGUUUCAAAAGGCAGAAAAUGACUAUUUGAUGUCUGGCUUAUAGACUCAGGAGCUACCUGACACAUGACCUCUCGAAGAGAAUGGUUCCACACAUAUGAACCUAUCUCAGGAGGAUCUGUAUAUAUGGGUAACGAUCAUGCCUUGGAGAUCGCUGGUAUUGGUACUAUAAAAAUAAAAAUGUUUGAUGGUACAAUUCGCACAAUUGGGGAGGUACAACAUGUCAACGGUCUGAAGAAAAAUCUAUUGUCUUUAGGACAAAUGGAUAGUCAUGGGUACAAAACUCAUGUGGAGAAUGGAAUUAUGAAGAUCGUUAAAGGCGCGCUUGUAUUGAUGAAGGCAGAAAAGAUCGGUGCUAAUUUAUUCAUACUUAAAGGAGAAACGCUACAAGAGGCUGAUGCGUGUGUCGCGUCAAAUGGAAAAGAAUCAACAAUGAUGUGGCGCCUCAAAUUUGGCCACAUGUCAGAACAAGGUUUGAAAAUUCUCUCUGAGCGAAAAUUGCUUACAGGGCUCAAAUCGGUAAGUUUACCAUUUUGCGAGCAUUGUGUUACAAGUAAGCAGUAUAUAUUAAAAUUCAGUAGAUCUGUUGCUAGAAGUAAAUGCAUUCUAGACUUGAUUCAUUCUGAUGUUUGGGAAUCACCGGAUAUGUCCAUGGGAGGUGCAAAGUACAUGGUGACUUUCAUUGAUGAUUAUUCCAGGAGAUGUUGGGUGUAUCCAAUUAAGAAAAAAGUCAUAUGUAUUUCCAGUGUUUAAAGAAUAUAAAGCGCGGGAGGAACUUGAAUCCGGAAAAAAGAUCAAGUGCUUGAGGAUGGAUAAUGGUGGAGAGUAUACAGACGGUGAGUUUCUUACUUUUUGUAAGUAAGAAGGUAUUCAGAGGCAGUUCACGGUGGCAUAUACUCCUCAACAAAAUGGAGUGGCAGAGCGGAUGAACAUGACUCUUACAGAACGAAUAAAAGCUAUGUUGAGGACUGCAGGUCUACCUAAUUCAUUCUGGGUAAAAGCAGCCAAAAUUGCCUGUUAUAUAGUAAAUCAGUCGCCAUCUACAGCUAUUGGGCUGAAGACAACGAUGGAAAUGUGGAUUGGAAAGCCAACUGAUUACUAAUAUCUACAUGCAUUUGGAUGUCCUGUGUACGUGAUGUACAAUGACCAAGAAAGAACAAAGCUGGAUCCAAAAUCUAGAAGAUGUAUCUUCUUGGGAUAUGCUGAUGGAGUAAAGGGGUAUCGUCUGUGGGACCCCACUACCCACAAGAUCGUCAUCAGCAGAGAUGUUAUCUUUGUAGAAGAUCAACUGAAAAUGAGAAAUGAGGAUAAUAGCACUGUAAAAGAAAAGUCAGAGACUGUACCGGUGUAUGUGAAAAAUAAUCUGGAAAAAGAAGAUUCAGAUUCUUCUAAAGCAGCACCAGAGCACGAGGAACAAGAACCAGUUGAGUCCGAGGCUCCAGAAGUUCGUCGGUCAACUUGUGAGAGACGACCGCCAACGUGGCACUCGGAGUAUGUCACAGAGAUCAACGUUGCAUACUGUCUUCUAACAGAAGAUGUAGAGUCAUCAACUUUCCAUGAAGCUUUAAACAACUCAGAUGUUACUUUGUGGAUGAUAGCAAUGCAUGAAGAAAUUGAAGCUCUACACAAGAAUAACACAUGAGAACUUGUACCACUACCACAUGGAAGAAAAGCCAUUGGUAACAAAUGGGUCUACAAGAUCAAGCGUGAUGGCAAUGACCAAGUGAAGCGGUAUCGUGCAAGAUUGGUGGUGAAAUGAUAUGCUCAGAAAGAAUGUAUUGACUUCAACGAGAUAUUUUCUCUGGUAGUUCGACUCACGACAGUCAGAAUAGUCUUGGCGAUGUGUAUUACAUUUGACUUACAUCUUGAGCAGUUGGAUAUGAAAACUGCAUUUCUUCAUGGAGAACUUAAAGAAGAAAUUUAUAUGCUUCAACCAGAAGGCUUUGCUGAAAAGGGAAAUGAGAACUUGGUUUGUAGGUUGAACAAAUCUUUAUACGGUCUCAAACAGGCGCCGAGAUGUUGGUAUAAGAGAUUUGAUUCCUUCAUCAUGAGCCUUGGAUACAACAGACUCAGUUUAGACCAUUGUGCAUAUUACAAAAGGUUUGAAGAUAAUGAUUUCAUUAUUUUGUUGUUGUAUGUGGAUGACAUGUUGGUAGCAGGCCCCAACAAAGAUCGAAUCCAAGAAUUGAAGGCACAAUUGGCUAGGGAAUUUGAAAUGAAGGACUUGGGACCAACAAACAAGAUUCUAGGGAUGCAAAUUCACCGAGACAGAAAUAACAUGAAGAUUUGGCUUUCUCAGAAGAACUACUUGAAGAAAAUCUUGCGACGCUUCAACAUGCACGAUUGUAAGUGAAUUUUUACCCCACUUCCUGUUAAUUUCAAGUUAUCCUCAAGUAUGUGUCCUAGCAAUGAAGCAGAGAGGAAUGAGAUGUCUCGAGUACCGUAUGCAUCAGCAGUGGGAAGUUUGACGUUCGCUAUGAUAUGUACUAGACCAGACAUUGCACAAGCAGUGAGAGCAGUUAGUCGAUACAUGAUGAAUCUUGAUGGAGAGCAUUGGAUAGCUGUGAAGAGGAUUCUGAGAUACAUCAAAGGAACCUCCGAUGUUGCAUUAUGUUAUGGAGGAUCAGAGUUUACUGUCAGGGGCUAUGUGGAUUCAGAUUUUGCAGGAGAUCUUGAUAAAAGAAAAUCCACUACUGGCUAUGUGUUUACACUUGCUGGAGCAGUUGUAAGCUGGGUUUCAAAACUGCAAAUCAUUGUGGCCCUAUCUACAACAGAAGCAGAAUACAUGGCAGCUACACAAGCUUGCAAGGAAGCUAUUUGGAUACAAAGGUUAUUGGAGGAGCUCGGGCACAAACAACAGAAAACUCUUGUGUUUUGUGACAGUCAGAGUGCCUUGCAUAUUGCAAGGAAUCUAACCUAUCAUUCCAGGACAAAGCACAUAGGGGUACAGUAUCACUUCGUUCGAGAAGUAGUGGAAGAUGGAAGUGUGGAUUUACAGAAAAUCCAUACCAAAGAGAACUUAGCAGAUGUUUUGACUAAGCCAAUUAUUGCUGACAAGUUUAUCUGGAGUAGAUACUCUUGUGACCUAGCAGAAACGUAGGCAACAUGACAAUGACGAAGCAGAAAGGAUGGUGUGGAGAUUGAUUGGUUCUCAAUCAAAUCUCCAAGUGGGGGAAUGUCAAGAUUGAUAUCUCUUCUAGAUAUUCAAACUUUGAAUAUCAAAUUCAAAAUUCUAGAUAUUCAAAGUUUGAAUAUCAAACUUUGAACUUUGAACUUUGAACUUUGAAUUUUGAAAAAUAAUAAAUAAUUGAAAAAAAAUACGUGAAUAGUAGCCAAGAUUUUGGCUAUAAAUAGAGGGGCUCAUUCCCUCAUUUGCUCAUCCAAUUUUGAGAAGAGUUUUUUUUAUAUUUAGAGAGAGUUUAGAGAGCUUGAAAUUAUAAGCUCUUGUUUUAGUGUUUUGAGAGUUUGGGUGUAUUGGGGUUUUGGGAAGUGAACUAAAAUACUACAAUACUUGUAACUCCAUUUCACUAGUAAAAUAUUUUCCGUCUGUCUUCACCCGUGGACGUAGGUUAAAAGCCGAACCACAUAAUUUCUAGUGCCCUCUUUUAUGCUUGUUCUUUAUUUUUUUCCAAUUUCAUUUUAGCUGCGGCCCUACUUCACCAAUCAAUUUUCUAACAAACUCGUAUUAAUGUGUACUUACUUCAUUCAAGAGAUUAGUGUUUUUCUCUCUUUUUUUCUAUAAAAAAAAAAAUUGAAAUGCCUUUUCGCAUUUUAUAGGUGAAAGGAAGAAACAUAAUAUCGCAGGACUAGAAUAAAGGAGCCUAUUCUGGUACCUAUUGUCCAAGGAAGCUUCGGUACAUUGGGUAGGCACUGCCAUGGAAGUCAAUCUUACCAGAGCCAGGCGGAGUCGUUCCUAAAGGAAUAUAUAUUAGCAUAUCCAUUUGUCCCGUACACUUCAAUUGUCGAUAGCAUUUUUGUUUGCAAGAUGGUAUGUUUUUUGUCGUUACUGCGUGGUGGUAUUUACUAGAAAAUAUUUUGAAUGCAUAGUUUUUAUUUAAUUAGUUAUAAAAUUUUUAUACCCUCUGUUUUCCAUAAGAAUGUGUUCCUUUUCAGGUCUAUUAUCUUGCCAAAUUGAUUAGUGCUGUUCAAUUUAAAUGUUAUUCCAAUUUCUCCAACAUACAGUGGGUCGAGUGGAGUAACAGGUGAUUGAAUAUUUUCAUUUAGUUCAAUUUUCAUUUCCUUUUCAAUCGGUAAAGUUUAAUCAUUUUCUUAAAUCGACAACUGAUGCAUGGCCAUAUCAACCGUCCAUGCCAUUUUUAUAACAGCAAUGCCUUUGUACUUUGUGUUUUGGUCGGAUCUCAGAGUUUCUUGGAUAAACAAUUGUGCAUCCUAUGAUCUAGGCAUGGUCGUUUGGACUGAACUAGUUUUUAAUAAAUAAUUGCCCAAGGAUUUAGUCUCAGUGUUACAGCCCAGUCUUUGUUGUCCAUACUCUUUCGCCCGUCGUGGAUGAGUGCCAUAACAGCUUCUUAGAUAGCGUUUACUUUUUGGAUUGGAGUGAGAAUCUUGAGAAGUGGGAAUCCUAGGAUUGGGAGUGUGGAGUGGGAGUGAGAGUAGGUUGUUUACUUACACUGGAAUGAAAGUAUGGAAUAGAGAUCAGAAUCCAAUUUAUGUGUUUACUUUGUCUUGGAUUGGGAGUAAAUAGUUUCAAAUUACAAUUUUAUCCUUAUGUAAAGAAUUAUAGUUUUUAAUUACAAAGUUAAUAAAAAAUAUAUUUAAUGAAUAAACAUUUAUUUUAUUAUAUUUGUAAAUUUAUAAUAAUUAUUAAUAUUCUUAAUUAUGAACAUCACAAUUUUUUUUAUAAUUUUAAUUAUAUAAAUUAAAAAUUGUUGAUAAGGGCAAUAUAAAUGAAAUAUUUUUACUAUUAACUUAGUAUGAAAUUAAUAUUUUCUUAGAAUAUACUAUUUAUUAGUAUUAAUUACUAAUAUUAAAUAAAUAUAAUACUAUUAUUUUUAAAUAAAUAUAAUAAUAUUAUAUUUUCAAAUAAAGAUUGUAUAUAGUAAUAUUAUUAAUUCUCUCUUAAUAUAAUAAUAUUAUUUUUAAGUAAAUUAAACUUAGAAUCAAACCCAAUUAUUAUUUAGUUAAAUAUAAUAAUAUUAUUUAAAUAUUUAUUAAAUAUAGUUAUAGUAAAUUUAAUAAAAAGAAGGGUAAAUAUAAAAUGAAACGUUAUUUUAUUUUAUAUAAUUAUAUUAAAUUUAUUAAUAUAAUAUUAUUUAGUACAAAAUUAAUAUUUUCUUAGAAUAAACUAUUUAUUAUUAUUAAUUAUUAAUAUUAAAUAAAUAUAGUACUAUUAUUUUUAAAAUAAAUAUAAUAAUAUUAUAUUAUUAAAUAAAGAUAGCAUAUAUUUAUUAAUUCUCUAUUAAGAUAAUAUUAUUAUUUUUAAGUAAUUUUAACUUAUAAUCAAUGUAAAUUAUUAUUUAGUUAAAUAUAAUAAUAUUAUUUAAAUAAAUAUAAUUAUAAAUUAUUUUAUUUUAUUAAAUUAAAUUAAAAACAAAGGGUAGAAAAGGGAGAGGUGGGAGUGGGACCAUGGGAGUCCCACUCCCACUCCCCACUCCAAAAAUGGAUGGGGCCCACGGAGUGAGAUUCUCAAUCCCUCUCUAUUUUGUUGAAGUAAACACUGGAGUAGGAGGAAUCCACACUUCUCACUCCCACUCCAGAAAGUAAACACUGCCUUAAUGUUUUGAAGUGGCUUUUGCACGGUUGUUGUUUCCUUCUGAAGCUAUAGAGUAGCUAUGGAUAUAGCAGAUGCAGAUGCCACUAAUUUUUAUACUGGCCUUUCAUCAUCAAAAUGAAAAGGAUCAAGCGGGAACUUAAAAGAAGGUUGAUUUGAAUGAAACACCCUCUAUGCAAGCCAAGAGACUCCAAUUAAGACUGCAAGCUCUGCUUAAAACAGGUAUUUAUAUACCUUAUUAGUUUUUGUACCUUUACAAUUAGUGAUUUUUGUAUCAAAAGAGAGGUUAAUUUUUAGUACACAAGUGCGGCUCUUCCUCUAGACAACUGCCUAGAGCCCCACUAUAGAUGAAGACCCCAAAUUUUUCUCUAACAUUAUAGCUAUUAAAUUAUUCAUUUAUUUUUAUUUUUAUUUUUAUUUUUAUUAUUCUAUAAUAAUCUUUGUUCAAAUAAAUUAUCAAAUCCCUACAAAAUCUCUUUUUAAAGUUGGAAUAAACAAUGUUAAUCCUAUUUACUCCUACAAAAUCUCUACUUAAUGUUAUUUCAUUUAAAACUCUAUAAAAGUCACACAUUUGUUAACUUGUUAUCCAUUAAUAUUUUUAUUCAUUAAAAGAAAAGCACGAGACAUUCAAUGCUUCAAUUCAUAAGGAAAAAAAGAAGCUUUUUUUAAUUUUUACUUAAGAAAAAAAUUAACUAUUUUCAUUGACCGCUGCUGUUUAAAACUUCAAUCCAUCAAAAUUAGAGUUUCAAAUAUCCAAGUUUUAUUCUUCCUAUUCUCUUCUUAAUCAGUUGUGUUAUUCAAUUGUUAUUGUUUCUUUUUUAAAUAUUAUUGUUGUUUUCUUUUAAUUAUCCAGCAUAAUUGUUUACUUGUUUUCUCUUCUUUCACUAAAAAAAGAAAAAAAUGUCUAAUAGAAAAUGUGCAUCAAGAUACAAAAAACUUGGGAAAAAAGAGAAGAAUAAAAAAGUAGUUCGAUCUAAAAAAUGAGCUCUUGAUAAGUUUGUCAAAAAUAGUAAAAAAAGAUAUGAAUUAUAGUGAGGAAUUAGUGAUUGAUGAAGUUUUUCAAAAUUAAAAUUAAUAAAAAUUUAUUUAAGAUCAAAUAAGUCGCAAGAAAAGUUAAAUGAUUUAGCUAUAUUGAGAAGAAUGUAUUAGCGAAAUUAGAAAUAAAAAUUUGAGCAAUAAUUUUGCACCUAAGAAAGCUAGAAAAUUUGAUUUUAAAUAAAUAACUUUUUAGUAAAACAAAUACAUAUAUUUGACCUCAAAUUUUUUAAAAGGCCUAAUUAAAGCAAUUCAUCUAAGGCCCCAAAAUUAGUUGAGCCGCCCCUAUUAGUACAUUCAUAUCUCAACAAAAUGUUAGAACCUUUGUAGCACUAGAGACAUUUUCUUAGAGCAUUUACUGACCUUUCUAUGAUUGCAGUGGAGACAGGUCGACGCUACUUCCCUCAUUGCUCAGAAGUGGUUGAUAAGUUUUUGGAUUGUGAUUGGUCCGAUUCUUCCCUCCUAGAAAAGGGUACUCCUGAAGAGCAGAAACUCAAAAGGGCACGCUUCAUGAAACUUAAAGAAGACCUGAAGAAGGCAUUUUACAAGGACAUGGCUGAGAAAAAUCCCUCAGGUCUGUCGUCAUCUUCUCCGAAGGAAGGAGUAAAGUGUAAGGGUAGGAAAAGGUGAUGCUUAGCUGCUUGUCUUUGUUAUUCAUUUAUAGGCAACUAAGUGUUUUAGUGAGUUUGGUUGUUACUUGUAGAGAGAUACUCUUAGGGCAUAUGUUAUGGUUAUGUUGUAUAAUAGCAGAGAAACUUUAAGCAUGCAUUGUUGUAUUUUCCCAGAUAUUUGGCUUGUAAUACACCAAAUGACAAAGAAUUUUCUAUUUUUAGAGGGGAAAGUUAUGUCAGUUAAUUAUUUAUUUAUUUUGUCUGUCUAAUUCAGUUUACAUAGCUUUUUUUUUUUUUCCUUUCCAAAAAAAUCUGCAUAUCUUCAUCUGCAAUUUAAGUCAUUGGUAACUUCUUUCAGGGAGGAAGGAAAAAAAAAAAGCAUUUGUAAGUAUAUUUUACAGUACUGAUUUUCCUAAAAAAUUAGUUAAGGUGAGAUUAAUGUUCUUUGAAAUAGAUGGAUAUGCAGAAUCUUCAUCGAAAUUGAAAUUAGAAAUGGAUGGAUACGAGUGACUUAUAUUAAGAAUUUUUUAGUAGAAUGCUUAUAGAAAAAUUUGUAGCUCAUUACUCUCUAGAAGGAAAAUAAAUUUUAGAUUGUAAAUAUUAAAUAUUAAAAUUAUAAUAUAAUAAAUGUGUGACUUAAGGUGUACAAUACCCAUAUAAUAAUAAUUAAGAAAAGAAAAAUCAAAUUUUGUAAAUUACCAAUUUUCUCUUGAAAUUUGAUAUUCUAUAUUAACGUAGGUGUUGCAUGGAGUGGGCUAGUACAACUGAAAGAAACUAACUAAAGUAAAAAAAAAAAUAUCAGAAAAAUACGACGAGCUUCUCAUAUUUUUCAAGUAAAAAAAAAAACUAAAAUUAAUUAUUUUUAUAACCAAAUUCUAAUGCUUGAAGGUUGCUGGAAUUGACCAUUGUAAUUUUGUCAUCCUCGUUAUUCACUGGCCAUCGUAGCCUUCCUCCAUUAAAAUGAGAGUUGUUUUUCGGACCACGACGUAAUAAAAAUAAUAUCGAUUAAUACUAAUAAACCUAUUUUGAUUAUUUUGUAGUGUGAUGGUCUAGUAAGUAUCAGUACUUAUCCUAGCAUCCGAACAUGUGAUAAAAUUAUGCGAGUCUCUAUAAAAUACUAUUUAAAUUAUGUAUUAACUAGACAGUUCUAUGUAGAUAUUUCGUAUAUAUUUAUGAUAAUUGUUGAAAAAAAGAACGUAAAAUGAGAUUAAUGAACAUUCAUAAAUGUGGAAAUUAACACAACUAAGAUUUAUGAUGAAAUAAUUUUAUGUCAAAUGAGUGUAAGUGAAUGGAUGUUAAAAUAACUUGUAAUAUAUAUUUUUUGAACUGUUAUUUACACAAGUUUGCCACCAACAGUAAAUUAAAUUAUGAAUAUUUUAAUAAUUCAAGAUCUCAUUCGAUGUUUAUAGUAUUUUUCAGAGUACAAAAUUGUAAAUGGUCUCACCCUUCAUAGUAUAAUGCUAAACCUUUUAAAAAAUUUAUUCUAUUAUAGACGUAUUAGUUAGUUAUAUUAUAUUAUAGACAAAAUUGAAGCUAAAAAUAGUACUUCAUCUAUCAUACAUUACUUUAAUUUUUUUUUUAUCAAAUUAUGAGCUGGUGAAAGGAUGCAACAAAUUACGUCAAACAUUGUAAAAUUUAUCAAUCACUAAAUAAAUAUCAUGUUAUAUGUGUGUGUGUCUCUCUCUCUAUCUAUAUAUAUAUAUAUAUAUAUAUAUAUAUAUAUAUAUAUAUAUAUAUUACACAAAAUCUGAUUCUCAUGAACUAAAAAGACAGGCUUUGGAUGAUGUAUCAUACUCAUAAAUCUAUUUUUAUUAAUGAUUAUACAAACAUAUCUUUUUUUUUUUCUUUUUUUUUGUGUGUUGCUUUUGAUAGAAACAUAUGAUUCACCUCUGUUUCUCCGAUGCUUGCUUGCUUCAUGAUUGGUCAACUUGGGUCAAACUUUCGUCUUUAAAUCACAUAGGUAGAUCAUGAUUCAAGCUUCAGUUAUAAGCCUUUCAUUGUGACUGGUAUUAUUCUUUCUUGAUGUACAUAUAUAUAUAGAUUCAGUUUGAAUGUGGUCCUUGAUAGUUUCAUGGAAAAUGCAAACGAAAUGUCAGCAUCUUUGAGUUUUGUCUCAUCAUAUCCGUCUUGUUGGUCUACUAAUCAACCAACAGGCUCUGAAACUUGCUCUGAUCUUGAUAAUUUUAACUUAAGGAGGCAAAGCAGCAAUCCUGAAGAGCCAUGGCUUGACGCUGAGAUUGUCGUUGAGGGCAAAUCAGUGGCAGUUAAUCGCUGCAUAUUGUCUGCACACAGUCAAUUUCUUCAUUGGCUUUUUAAUUUGAGAAAUGAUGGUUCUGUGAGUGAGGGGAAACCCAAGUAUCUUAUGACUGAUUUGGUGCCUUAUGGGAAGGUUGGAUAUGAAGCGUUCAAUGAUAUCUUGCAUUAUCUUUACACUGGGAAGGUUAAGCCAUCUCCUCUAGUAGUGUCCACGUGUGUUGAAGAUGCUUGUGCUCAUGAUGCUUGCCCUCCUGCUGUCAAUUAUGCUAUUGAGUUGAUGUAUGCUUCUGCUGCUUUUCAGAUGAAGAACUCGUUUUGCUUUUGCAGGUAAUUGUGCUUCCCUGCUAUUUGUAUUGCUUAAAUUUAUGCUUCUUGGUAUAGUUUUAACAUUUAUGGAAUUGAAAUCAAUUUCAAUUGUGACUUGCAAAGAGCCAAAGCAAGUAAAUGUGAAGCAACUUCAGUGAUUCGCAAUAUUAGUCAUCGCAGGAGAUCCAAAAUUUGUAGAUACUGUAGAAUUGUAGAGCCCAAAACUUCAUCUUAUCUUGCAAGAGUUUGUUGUUUUAUUUUCAAAUAGACAAAAAAAAGAUGAUGAUGGGCAGCGAACUCUAGGGAUCAAUGCUUGCUGACACUGACACCCAAUGCUUGAUGUCUAGCUUGCUUAUUUUUCCAACAAUGACACUACCUUUCUAGUAAAUGAAAUAUUAUUCUACAUCUAUAUAUUGGAACUUUGACAAACUUCGCUUUUCCUUUGUUGAUUCACUGGUCUCACUUUUAUUCAAUUGCCCGAUUAUGAAAUGGUCUAUUGGAGACUAGCAUUGGAAGGUUUCUUGUGGAAAAAGUUUUACUUGACCACCGAUUUUCAUUUUGGUGGGUGUCAGCGCAUGCUCUGGCUUGACUAUUCUGUUAUUUAGGUUGUUUUAUCUGUAUCUUCUCACUCACUUGAUAGUUAGUUCUCUCAUGCUUCCAAGCUCAAAGAUGAAUGCAAGAGAUUCUCUUUUUCCCCUCUAGACUAUAACCUAUCAAAUCAUUAAUGCUAUAGAAUAACAUCUUGUGUAGGCGGGCUUAUGUGUCUGAACAUUGGUCCAUCGGCAUUUUCAAUAAGCAUGGCACUGAUUUUUCGUCUCAUUAUUAUUUUCCUGCCCAGAUUGUCCCCUUUACCCAGAUUGUCCCCUUUAAGUAACAUAUUGAAGGAGAGCAACAUUCUUAUAUAUGUUUUAUGAUGUUUACCAAUAAUUACCCACCACGCGGUAUUUGAAUUUUGAAUGUAUUAUUCUGACUCAAAACUCUAUCUGUCGGUGUAGCUUCGUCUUCUGAACUUUGUUGAGAAGGCUUUUGUGGAAGACGUAAUCCCAAUCCUUGUGGCUGCCUUGCAUUGCCACCUGAACCAGCUUCGUUCUCUCUGCAUCCACAGAGUUGUAAGGUCAAAUCUUGACAAUAUAUAUCUCGAGAAAGAGCUUCCUGAGGAAGUUUCAAGUGACAUCAAAUCACUUCGUUUCGAAUCUAACCAGGAGUCUGAAGCUAACAUAGCAGAAGUGGAUCCUCGAUAUGCAAAAAGAGUCAGAAGAAUCCACAAGGCACUGGACACUGAUGACAUUGAACUGUUGAAGCUUCUUCUGAAUGAAUCUGAUGUCACUUUAGAUGAUGCUUACGCUCUGCAGUAUGCUGCUGCCUAGUGCAACCCUAAGGUUUUAAAGGAAGUGCUCAAUAUGGGCUUGGCUGAUCUCAAUCUUAAGGAUGCAAGAGGACGUACGGUGCUUCAUGUGGCUGCAAGGCGUAAGGAGCCAGCAGUGCUGGUGACCCUGCUCAGCAAGGUAGGCAUGCGCAUCAGAAACUACAUUAGAUGGGCAAACAGCUUUAGCAGUCUGUCGGAGAAUGACAAGGCGAAAGGAUUAUAUUGAAGCUGCAAAGCAGGGGCAGGAAACUAACAAAGACCGGUUUUGCAUUGAUGUCCUUGAGAGAGAGAUGAGAAGGAACUCCGUGUCUGAGAACUUGGCAAUGUCAUCCGAGUUGAUGGAUGAUGAUUUCCAAAUGAAGCUGGACUAUCUGGAAAAUAG